rnacentral:lncRNA from 1 species
GUUCUGUGAUGAUUUCUGCAAUACAUUGUUGCUCCAUGCUUUAGUACAACUAAUGACCCAAUAUUUGUGAUGUUAACUAUGAUUUUCUAUAGAAUGGUUUGCAACAUAUCCUGAACAAGAUCAAAAUUUUCCUCUAACCAUAAUCAAACUUAGUUUCAAGAACAGUUUAAGGAUGCAUAGCAACUUCUAUAUUCAACAUACUACUGUUUUGACAUGCAAGCACAAUAUAACCGAAACACUGCUAUAGAAAUUCCUAAACUCUAGCUCUUUAAAUUCACCAAAAUUGCUGCAGCUGAAUCAUGUACAGUAGGAUUAUAUUGAGUAUCUACUUGUUUUACACUUGCACCGGAAAGCUGAAUCUAAAAAGAACUCAUCCAUAUGAAAUUAAGUAGACAACAUUACUGAAAAGAAAAUACGUAACUUACCCAAGGUCUAUAAGUCCAGCAACUGUGCUAAUGCUAAUAUCAAUAUCUAGGCAGUUAUCUUCUCCGUUGUGAGCAAUAAUUCUCCUCGCUGAAUCGGAGACCACAAUCAUCAAGUUCCGGAUCCUCUAAUACAAUACAGUAUAAACAACAAGGAUUAAAUUUUAUGCUCCCUAUACUAUAACCCUACCUUCAUCCGAUGCAUAUGAAGAUUGUCAUUGACAAACAGCGGAAUUCCAAAUCCAAACAUAUAAAUUGCCUGGAAGGACAGUGUGCAAUUAAAGCUCCAUCAACAUGCAUUUCCAACGAAAAUUGUGCAAUAACAAUCUAGCAUGUGAUUCAAUUCGCAGGAGGUAUCACAUUAUUUGAAUCACUUCAAACAUGGCAAAAGAGUUGCAUUUGGUACAUAAAACCUAAAUGGAAACCAAGAACUUUAGUAUAUGCAGCUACAGCGAAGUGCAGAAGUUCCACUGUCCUAUUACUAUUCUAGAAGUCAGUAAAAGCAUAGCUAGCUCAGAAGUGUGAAAAAUCUAUAUCGAGCAAAACAAAAGUGAUACCUUCAGAAGUAUAUCCACACCAACAAGGAUUCCUGAGACAACAAAUGUUCAUGUCAACGCUUCCAGUCCACUUGCAUAAUUCCCUUGGAGUAAAAAUGCCAGCAAGCUUACUUCCAAAAAUAACAUUCCGGAAGUUGUAAACAAAGAUAAGACAUUCCAUGCCAGUUCUUUAUCAAGUGUGCAUUCCCAUGCCUAUGCCAAUAAAGUGACAACCCAACCUGGUAUUAGGUACAACAAAUGCCUAUGAACGUAAACAAAUACAGUAAUCAAACCAGCAAAAAACCCAAAUAACAAUCAUAAUGUUCAUAGACUAACUUCUGUCCUAACACUGUAGAAAUCCUUUUAUGCAUUCAAUACAUCCACCAAUCGGAUUCACAACUUGCAAAAUAAGAAUCACACUACUCAGCUACUACGUCUGAUACAUAAACCUCAUAACAGAAUCAACCAACCAAGUGAAAAUCUAGACAUUGUAUUUACUCCGGCGAAUAUACGAUAAAGUAUGUAUCCCAAUCCACGUGCUACGAUGUCUGAUAAGUAAACCUCAUAACAGAAUCAAGAAACCAAGUGAAAUCGCAACUUUGUAUUCACCCCAGCAAACAUACAACAAAGUAUCAAAAAUGAACAAUCUAAGACCAAACCUAUUCAAGAAACCCUCCAAGAUANNNNNNNNNNNNNNNNNNNNNNNNNNNNNNNNNNNNNNNNNNNNNNNNNNNNNNNNNNNNNNNNNNNNNNNNNNNNNNNNNNNNNNNNNNNNNNNNNNNNNNNNNNNNNNNNNNNNNNNNNNNNNNNNNNNNNNNNNNNNNNNNNNNNNNNNNNNNNNNNNNNNNNNNNNNNNNNNNNNNNNNNNNNNNNNNNNNNNNNNNNNNNNNNNNNNNNNNNNNNNNNNNNNNNNNNNNNNNNNNNNNNNNNNNNNNNNNNNNNNNNNNNNNNNNNNNNNNNNNNNNNNNNNNNNNNNNNNNNNNNNNNNNNNNNNNNNNNNNNNNNNNNNNNNUGAGUAAUAAUUCUCCUCGCUGAAUCGGAGACCACCAUCAUCAAGUUCCUGAUCCUCUAAUACAAUACAGUAUAAACAACAAGGAUUAAAUUUCAUGCUCCCUAUACUAUAACCCACUCACCACUGUAAUCAGAAUUGGGUAAAUUUCAUAAUAAGCAAACACUAACCUGUACGAAUCAGGUACGAUGAUGCCCAAGGUUUCGAACACUAUCGGGAAUCCAACGAUGGUUCCUGAAAAUCCACAACUACAGCUCCGUCGUCAUCCCAGCAGAAGACCACCGAAUCGAAUUUCCAGAUUUCAGUCUACCUCUCAUGUAACUCUCGAUUACAAAUCUGUAUCUGUAUCCCCGAUCCUCAUAUCUUCAUAUCUGUAAUCCACUUUCAUGUAAUUCUCCCGCCUCGCAAAUAUACCCCCAAUCGGGUAUUACCCGAUGCAAAGCUUCUUCAACACACCUCUUCACUGUUGUUCAUUAAUGAACUUACCCACCUCCAUAUCGUCGAUCGCGGAGGGAGAAUUACCGAGAGUCGUGCACAUCACGCACUUUUGGGAUACAGAGGCUUCUCCAACCGCUGCUUGACACGUGCUCCAGACAACCGCAGUACUCGGAGCACUGCGUACAUUCCAGAAUUCACCUUAAGUUAUUUAUAUCGUGUAUGUUUAGGUUAUAAAACGUGACACAUUAGAUCGAGCAAUUCCACAUCCGAGAAAAUGGGAGACACCGACGACAAGGUGAAGAGCGAAGCUCUCCAGAUAAUCGCCCAACACAGCCACAACUUACCUGCUCUCGUCGUCUUCGACCUCGACUACACUCUCUGGCCUUUCUACUGCGAAUACGAAGAAGACGACAUGCCGUAUCUCUACCCACAAGCCUUGCCCAUACUACACGCCCUCAAACAAAACGGAAUAUCUAUGGCCGUCGCUUCAAGAUCCCCUACUUCCGAUGUUGCCAAGUCUUUCCUUCAAACUCUGGGCAUCAGCUCCUUCUUUGUGACCCAGGUGUGAAAACCCAACAAAGUUUUGUGAUCUUUAUUGUAGUUUUGUUCCAUGAUUAUGUUGCUUGAUCAUUUUGGGUUGUUUUGUGUGCAGGAGAUAUUUUCGAGCUGGACUCAUAAAACAGAGCAUUUUCAGAGGAUCCAUGCAACUACUGGGGUGCCCUUUACCUCAAUGCUCUUCUUUGAUGAUGAGGAUAGGAAUAUUCAUGCGGUAAAGUUUGACUUUACCAUUUUACUUUGACAUGUUUUUCAUCUAGUGUUUGGUAGUUCUUCAUGGAAUGUUUGAUGGUAAUAUGAUUAGGAAUAUGAUAUGAAUGAUUAUAUGUGAAAGUGUUGAUGAAGAAUAUGGUGUUGGAAGUUGUUUUUUUUUUUUUUAAGAGUUGAAUAUGGUACUUGCAGGUAUCGAAAAUGGGGGUGACGAGCAUUUUGGUUGGUAAUGGGGUGAACCUUGGAGCUUUGAGGCAGGGAUUGUCCGAGUUUGCGAGAAAGUCAGCUUCGUCUAGCAGGAGGGUUUAGGGAUAGUGUUCUCUCCAUUGCAGAUCAGUAAUGCUUAGUGCCAUCUUUAGUUACUGUGAUAUCAAUUCACACUAUGAGAUUGAUGUGUUAUCGUAGCUUUGAAAGUAUAGUUCAUAUCAAUUCAUACCAUGAGAUUGAAUGAGGUUGUGUGAGCAUCAUUUAUAGUACCUCAGAUACAUUUUGGUAAUUUUCAUUUAUAGUUCAUAUCGACAUACGCUUUGGAAGAAUUCAUUUGUGUGAUGUAAUUAUGCUGCAGAUUGUCCACUUUAAGAUUGUAAUUUAGUUUACAUUUGGGUCCAGCAGUUGUUUUCUUUCUUUGGUGGUUCCUGCUAUUGGUCUCAAACAGAUAUGUAUGGUAAGUCUGUUCUUAUUGAAAAGCUCAAUUCUGCUCAGAAAUUGUAAGGACUAUGUAUUUACAUUGGCAAAUUGAGGGAAAAAUUUCACAUUCUAGUUAGCUUGACCCUUACAGUGACAAACUAGUUACAGGCUUUUACCCCAAGCUAUAGGGUAUUUUAACUUUCAAGUUGACCACCAAGAUCGAUACUUUCUGCUAUCUGGUGUACCAUGUUAACUGUUGCAUUUACCAGAUGACCAGAAAUCUAUUGAAGGCAACUCUGGUCGUUUCCAGUGGAGGGGGACACAUAUGCACAUAUAAUGCAUUCAGUGUUUGGCUAAGGAGGUUUAUUUUUUGAUAUUCAUUGUUCUGAAAUUCUGAUGAAUCUAUAGAAGGCAUCACACGCCUUAAAACUCUAUGAUAGCUGAAGACAAAAGGUUGCAAGAUGAACUUCAAAAGAACUGCAGAAAUAUGAUUUCCUGAACUUUGGGACUUACAAUAGUAAAUCAAAUUCGUGGUUAAAUUGUUCGUCAAAAACCAAAUACUUACAUACACAUUAGUUUUAAGAAUCCGUGCUUCAUUUCCACAUUGCAGCUAAGUGUUGAGGUCUCUAAAUGGAGAUCUUAUGUCAGAAGUUACUUCACAUUUCUUCCCUGGGGUAGGCAUAGAAACAUUCUCUUUUUCUGGGUCAGCAAGCUCAUCAGUCCAUUCCAAAUCCAUUUCCUGACCUUGGUUUUCAAUAGAGAGCACCAUCUCUUCCAGCAUACCCCUCAAUUGUUUGUCUGUACUGGUGAACUGACUGAUACUGUCUGAUGACAACUUAAUGACCUCUUCAAGUACAUUUCUUCUUUCAUUGUUGAGUUCUCUCAGCUUUGUCUUCAUUUGAUCACUCAGUUUCUGCGCUUCCAGCUCCCUUGUUUUCAAUUCAGCUUCAAUCUCCAGUGCUCGCUGUUCUGAGUCACACAAGGAUUUCUGCUGUGAUUCCAGCUUUGUCUGUAAACUACAGAUUUCACCCUCAAGUUCCGCAAUCACUGACUUAUUUACUGCAUUUUCAACUGCAGCCAUAAUCUGAGCAGCAGUGAUGUCCUCCCAAGUCUCAUGUAUGACAUUAAUUUCUGCCUGUUUUUCAGCUAGCUGUGAAGAGAAAGAAACUACUGAGCAAUUAAACUUAUGCUCCAAGGACUCCACAAGCUGCAUGAGAUCAUUCACUCUCUGGUACUUCUCUUCUACAAGUUGGAUAAGUUUCUCCUUCUCAUGCUCAAAUAGUCUCUCUGCGCCAAUUUGGGCAAGCAAAACACCUGUGAACUCUUUCAUCAGUGAUUCUUGCUCUAGCCGGCCGACCUCAUUCUGGAGUUUCUCCAAAGACAUUGCUGCCUCCAUUUGUGCAGAACCAGCAUUUUCUGCAUCUGCAUCUGUUAUCUUGAGCUUCUGCUCCAGUAACACAAUCUGCUGUUGGAGGUUUUCUACUGUUUUGUCUUUCUCCUCUAGAACACGAAGAAGACCCUUAUUAUCUUGCUUGAUGGUCUCCCCAACAUCUACCUCUGCAAGAAGAGAAGCUUCCAACUCUUUACGUAUGCCCAGACUUACUUCAAGAUCAAUUCUUAGAUUUUCAGUGAUGGAUUUCCAUAUAUGUAAUUCCAUUUCAAUUUCACUUCCUUCACUGAUUCUGUCAGCCAACUCAGCAUUUGCUCUCUCUAAGGCAUCAUUGAGUUCACUACGUUCUCUUUCUAGAACACUUUUCAUCUGCAAAAGUUGCUGUUUCAAGCAAAGCUCAUGAUUGGAUGAGUCCUCCAGCAUUUCCUUAUACCUGUUAAGUUCUUCCUGCAUCAGAAGUUGUUCUUUCUCAAUGAGAUCCAAAGCUUCAAUCCUCCUAGAUAAAAAUGCAGCCCUAUCACGUUCUUUUUCAAUACCUGCCUGUGCAAUAACCAGAGCAGCAUUCUUCAUCUCAACUUGCUGCAUCAAUAGAGAAAUACACUCUUCUUUCUCUUUGUUAAGCAGAACCAUUUCAGAUUGCUCAUUCGCAAUCUUCAGCUGAGCCUCAGAGAUUCCAAGCUUCAACACCAAUAACAUGACAGAAAGCUCCUCGUUUUGCAACUUGAGCUGUACAGUUAGAGAAUGACAAGCUUCCAACUCCAUCUUGAGCUCAUUUAAUGCUGCGCCUUUAUACUCUAGCUCGGACUUAAAGCUUUUCACAUCACCUGUCAUCUUCUGUAGUUGAGAGCUCCAUUCAUUCUCUUUGGCCCGAAUAACUGUAUAGGCUCUAUUCAUCUGCUCUAUUUCCACCUUGAGCUCAUUUAUUAUCACAUCUUUUCUUUCCAGCUCGGAAGUAUAGCUUUUCACAUCUCCUGUCAUCUUCUCUAGUUGAGAGCUCCAUUCAGUCUCUUUGGCCUGAUAUGUUCUACAGUCCCUGUGCAUCUGCUCCAUUUCCAUCUUGAGCUCAAUUAUAACUGCAUCUUUACUCUCUAGUUCAGAAAUAUGGCUUUUCAGAUCACCUGUCAUCUUCACUAGCUGAGAGCUCCAUUCAGUCUCUUUGGCCCGAUAUGCAGUACAGUCCCUGUGCAUCUGCUCCAUUUCCAUCUUCAGCUCCAUUAUUAUGGCAUCUUUUCUCUCUAGUUCAGAAGUACGGCUUUCCAGAUCACCUGUCAUCUUCUCUAGUUGAGAGCCCCAUUCAGUCUCUUUGGCCCGAUAUGUAGUACAGUCCCUGCGCAUCUGCUCCAUUUCUAUCUUCAGCUCGGCUAUUGUUGCAUCUUUUCGCUCUAGCUCAUAAAUAUAGCUUUUCACCUCAUCUUCCAUCUUUUCAAGUUGAGAGCUCCACUCAGCACCUUCUGCACCAUUUGUUUUACAGGCUCUAUGCAUCUGCUCUAUUUCCAUGUUGAGUUUUUUUAGUGCUGCAUCUUUACCCUCUAACUCACAUUUAAAAAUGUUCAAUUCCUCUCUCAUUUUUUCAAGUUGAGAGCUAUAUUCAUACUCCUUCGCUCUGAGAUCUGAAGUGUGGUCUCUCUGCAUCUGUUCCAAUUCUGACCUGAGCCCCGUUAUUGCAGCAUCUUUAUUCUCUAACUCAGACUUAUGGUGGUUCAAGUCCCCUGUCAUAUUUUCCAGUUGAGAGCACCAUUCAGCUUCUUUAGCCCUAUGAUAUGCAACAGAAUCUCUGUGCAUCUGCUCCAAUCUUUUGAGCUUGCUUCGCAGCUUUGCCAGAGAAGGUGAACCUGGUGCAGACUGGAUUUGGGCUUCCUGGAGUUCUUUGAGGGACAUUCGCAACUCUUCAUUUUCUUGCUGUAGCUUCCCUGUCUGAUAUUCCAUUUCUUUGUGAAGUGUUGCUUUCGUGCUUAGGGACUGCCUUAGAGAUGCAAUUUCUUUGUCCCUCUCAGCAGUUAAGCCUUCCAGUUGCGAUUUUGUAUCAUCGCUGUCAGAAAAGUCACUUGUAAAGAGUGCUUGGAACUCAGAAACCUGAACUUCCAGACGCUUUCUUCGGGAUUCUUCAUGAGCCAGGGCUUGGUUGCACAUCUGGAGUCGCUUUUGAAGAUCAUCUGAAAUUCUGGUUUGAGAAUCCAAGUUUGUCUCCAACGAACAAAUCUUAUCAAGCAAUGAAGACUUCUCCCUCUCCCAUUCCUUCUUACUUUCCUUGAACUGAUCUCGGAGCUUCUCAUGUGCUUCUUCUAGAUGCCUGAACUGCUCCUUCUUCCACUUUAGCUGAUCUUGAACUUUCCGAUUUUCCUCCUCUACGCUGAGAAUUACCUCGUCCCUUUCUCUUAAUUCUUUUGAUGCAUUAGCUUUCUUCUCUGCUUCCAGACAUUUCUUCUGUGAAUCAGAUAGACGGGCCUUGAGGCCUUGAAUCUCUUCUGUGUAUGCACGAAUUGUUUGCUCCUCAUCCAUUUUCUUCUCAUUCGCCUCAUCCAAAGCCAAUGCCAACACUCUGUUGGUUUCUUCCAAUUUCCGGUACUUCUCAUCACAAUCAACUCGAAGUCUAUCGUUUGCAGCCCUGAGAUGUUGAAUCAUGGACUCUUUAUCUUUCAAACUGCAUUUGAGAUCUUCACACAUCUGCUGCACCGUGGAUAUUGUUUCUGCAUUCUCAUUUAGUUCUUGAGCCUGCUUCUCGAUUUUCAAACUUGCCUCCUGGACUUUACUGAGCUGCUCAUUGUGUGCUUUCCUCAAGUUAUCAGAUAGUUCUGCUUUGCUUUUGUAUUCUGCCCUGAGCUUCUCAAGCUCAGCUUUAACUUCAUCCAGCUCUACAUAAACACUGUCCAUGUUCUUCUGCCUUCAACAGUACUGUUUGAAAAAAGAGAAAAACAAAAAAUUAAACUCUGCAGGUAUAACCCAACUCUAAUUUGCAGUCACUAAGCAUAUACACUCGGCCUUAGUAACUCAUUCUAAACCAUCUGACACAUAACCUAAAAUUACCACUUCUUUCGAAUCAUAAGGACAUAGUAGUAACACAACAAAACAUAAACUCAUAGAGGCUAAAGUGAUACUACUGCUAAUGGCAAAUCAAUGAAAUCAUGCUUUUGAUAACCUCUUCAUUUCUGACCUUUUAUCAAACCUAAAUGACUACUCACAGUAACAAAUGGUGAGUAAAAGAACAAGAAUGCCAGCAAUUUUAGCUAUAGCAGUUCGAUUCUUUCAGAAAUUUGCAAGAAACUUUAUAGAUCUAUACAUUGUAGAAGUUAUCAUUUCACUUUCACAGUUUCUGCAACUUCAUCAAAAGAUUAUAGUUAGAAAUGGCCAAACACUUUCUCUUCCAGUUAAUUUGUGGACAAAUGUGUCUGUCCAAACUCAAAUUUUACUCCCUUCAACACAAAUCUAACAACAGAUACAUGUCUAUAUCAGCUUUAAGCAAAUGGAAAAUGCAUGUUUUAUUUCUUUUUUGUUUGCUGCAAGAGGACAAGCAAAUCAAGUAUAUAACUUUUCCAACUUCAAGGUAUAAAGAAGUUGAGGAACCUAAUUCUAAACUGAGCCAAGUACAGGGAGAGGGAUUAGUGUAUACUAAAAGCAAAUAGAAAACCCAACAAAGAACAAAACGCAAAAUCACCAUCUAAUCUUUUUCUGUUUAUUCCCAAUCACACAUGUAAAUGAACCAAAACCCAGAAAAUUAGAUCCAAUCUCACAUGGAAAUUCACAAGCACAUAAUAUGAAACACUACCAAAUCUCUGGAAUACCCAGAGACCCAGAAAAUCAUCAAUCAUACAAAAAAUAAGUCAAAAGAACCCAAAAAUGCAGCAAGAAGUUCAAGAAAAGUAGCAUAGUUUAACAUAUAAACUAUGCCCAAAUCUCUAUUAGAAUGAAAUUGAAACUGAGAACCCCAGAUAUCCUUCCUUCUCUUUCACAAAUUUCAGAAGACCAAUUUGAGGAAAACCCAGAAACAUACCUGGUUUUGGGAUUAUGGGUUGUUCGUCAUUAGAUAGAAUCUAAUCUGGUGGAGGUUUGUUGUUGGUGUUCAAGAAUGAGAGAGGAAAAGAGAAUCGGAGAGAAAGAGAAAGAGAAAGAGAGAGAGAAGUAGCCGUUGAAUAUAGAAGAGGGAAUUUCGCCCCCUUUGUGGAUUUGAAUGUAUUUUCUACCGUCGUUUGUUAACGGCGUUUAUCUUUACCGAAAGGAGUUGAUGUUUCCCAAAAGGACAAACUAGCCGUUGGGACUGGAUUUAUCUCUAGUUUCGAUUUGGGUCAAAAGUUUUGGGUUAUUUUAGGGCUUUGGAUCCAUAGCUAACCCUUCAUUUUUCACUUGUCUUUUUUUUUUUUUAUUUAAAAAGAAAAAAGAAAAUGAAAUAAACAAAACAUUCAUGAGGUGAUUGGUCAUGAUCGACUCUUUAACCCAUAAUUUUGCUAACAAAGCUUUUCUAAAACAAACUUUUACAACAGAACUAUGGUUUUUGGGGCAUUAUGGCAAUGUUUUACUCUGGAGGCAAUUUCUCUUACCUUCAUCACUACAAUAUGGGUGAAAUUCAAGUGCUUCCAUUUCUUUAUUGAAUCAGGGCAUGUUACAGAUGCAUAAUAAGUUCAAGUGCAAUAACAAGACAUUGUUGUAUGAUGCUUAGUAGCUUUAUGUGAGUGGUUAAUAUCGAUGACAACAUAUUCACAUGAUAAACGGAAUGACGGUCCUAUAAAUCGAUUUCCUCUAUCCAUUCACUAUUCUAUCAGGUAUUAGUUAGUGUUGUCACCCAUCAACCAUAUCAUCAUUAAUUCUUAUUUGUGCAUCGUUAAAAUCUCUUUCUUUGGGUAAGACUAAGGACAUACAUGUUCAUUCAUGAUUUCAAUUGUAGGGUACUCUUCCAUAGCAACUACCAAGUAAUUGACUUGCCCUCUUUUGCCACACAAGGUAAGAUAAGAGAGGCUUAAGGGCACAACCACACAUAUGCUUAACAAGACUAUAAACCACAUGCUAUAUAGCUCCCACAUACAACAUGCAUAUACCCAAGCUGAAAGUGAAAGCCUUGAAAUUUUGGUUUGGGGUAGUGAAAGAUAGCUUCUUAUUGUGCAACGUACUGAUUUUAGUAAACUUAUGGCUACCUUCGUUCUUGGAUCACUAGAUGGCACUAUCUUUGUCAAUAUCCCCCUUUUGGUCAAUAUCUCCCUUUCAAUCUUUCAUUUUCAUGUAACAUGCAAAUCUGACAUGUUUGUCCACAAAGUUGGACUGCAAAAUCUCCCAACCAGCUCGGCCAUAUGAAAUUAGAUAUCUUUCUGCUCAAUAUAUGCAAUUGGGGGAUAUAUUCACGACAAGAGCCCGAGUCUCAAUCCUUAUAGUGUCUUCACAUGCCUCUUUGGCGUGUAUUUGUUACUAAUAGAACGGAAAGAGAUUUUAACGAUGCACAAAAAAUAUGUUACAUUCGCGGUUUCAUGAUUAACAAUAAAAGAAUAUAGAUGAUUAUGAUAUAAAUGACGAAAGAUUAGAGAAUGCUGAACAGUAUUAUGAAUCAUUUUGAGAAAGGUCAUAAUCAAUUAAUCAUAUCCUCUAAUUCACAGCUGCCCGUGAAGCUUGUUGUUGCCGACUUGCCAUUCGAAAUUGGCCAGAUGAUACAUUUUCUUUUUGGUAAAAUAGUAAUAUUUUAGCAGCUAAAAACUUUAAUACCAUAUUAAGCACUUGAAAAAGUCUUAAAAUAAGCAAUUUCUAUGUUCCUACGUUCCCUUUCAAAGACACAAAUGUGUCUAGCUUAUCACUGAUUAGAUUAAACUCCAGUCCCAAUCAAACACAUAAGAACUCCACCUCAGUUAACAAUCCCUAGCUAUAUGCCCCUGGGAAUUCUUCACCAAUUUGAUUGUGAUUUAUGAAAAUGUUAUGUUUGAUUAAGUAAUUUUAUUUUUGGAUUUUGGUGGAGUAAGGCACAUGGAAAGGAUCCACUUGGAGGAAGAAAACUAUAUACAAAAUUACAAACUAACAAUGUUGUGGUCAAGUGGAAGUGUGCAAGCUGUGAAUUGGCUGCGGAUCUUGAGUAAUUUCCUCCUGUAAAUUAUAUCUUUAGGUAACAAUUAAAGAGUGAAAACAUCAUUCAUUGUUAAGUGAUAUCAGAUCCAAAUCUAGUAGGAAUUAAGCUGCCGUUCUACAUGCUUGUAUUGAGUUACUGACAAAAGAAAGUAAAGAACUAAAGAUGAUGAAUACAAUGUCGGGAGUUAAUAAACUAGUUCAUAUAUUUCCCAUACAUGUGAGAUGUAUUUAUUCUCAACAGACUUGUCUAAACUUUUUAUCGGUAGGUUAAAUGAGGUGCAUCGCUCAAUUGGCACUAUGAUUGGGUUGGCCGAAUACUAAAACCCGUAAAUCCGUUAUAUAUUCUAACAUACUCUUUUUGCAGAUAUUAUGCAGUUGAUAUCUAAGCUAGCAUCCAAAUUGUAAACGGUUUUUUUUUUUUUUUUUUUUUUUGAGAAAAGUAAACUUUAUAUAAUAAAUUCAAGAAUACAGCCAUAAGAGAUAUCGGUGGUAGAAGUAAAUUCCCCACACGUGUCCCUACCCGAAAACACCAAUGAUUACAACGAUAAAGAUUUAACCGUAACCUAACAUAAUCCAGAUAUCUUCAUACAUCCUUACAGUCAGCCUCAAGAAAAAACCACUAUUUCAAACAUUACAUGCCAAAUUUUAAUUGGAAACGACAGUUUCCAUUGGCAUAUAUGUAUAUGUAACCUCCCCAGUACAUUGACAACAAGAACAAACUAAUGUUAACAUAAUAAUUGGAAACGACACCUUGACCAUGGCUCACCCCACGACACGACUAACGACUCCAACCUACAAAAAACACUAACUCCUCGCUCGAAGAGGAAACCAAAACCCUCACCUAGAGAAGAGGGACAAACAACCAACCAAAAACUAAAAACAAACACCACAGACAUAGGCAUAAGAGCCUAAGCCCAAACCAUACCAAGGUGAGCCCCAAAAGAUCUGGCCCAAAAAGCUGUUGUGACCCGAACGCUGCGCCACCACCAUGCCGUCGACGUCGACACCUUCCGAAGAGCAGCAACAUUCACGAACCACCAUGGAAGAGCACCAUACCACCAUCCUUCUACAUCAUCACCAGAAUGAGAAGCAAUAACCUAGACCUAAAUCGGAAAAGCAACCGGGUAAGCUAUUGUCGUAUCAUCACUAUCAUGCUCCCUUCUCAUCACCCCCGCCGCACCAACUACCCUCACCACAGUCAAGUCCCAAACAGCCGCUCAUCCACAACACCAUAACCUCACCGUCGAGUCAGCACCGCAUUGUACCACAGGCCACCCAACAACUUCCCGAUUCGCUCCUAUGAAAACCUCGCCCUUUAAUCCACCGCCACCACCAACCAGGUGAGAACACCACUUGGCCACCUUCAACGCUCAUCCAGCAGCGAACUGAAACCACCCCGACGAGGCCGGAAGCCAACGUCGGUGUGGAGGCGCCACUAGACAGGCCACAACCUCAAAACCCUAAACUUUUCCCCUUCCUUUUUUGUGGAGCUAACUCUCUCACAAAGAAACUGUUAUUACAUUGAAACGUUUAUGAUACUUACCAAUGCGUUAUCCAAUCAAUAACCUAAACAAUAUUAUUUAGUAGGUAUUUUGACGAGUCACUUCAACUUGUAGCAACUUGCAUGUGAAACAUAACUUUAUUGUCUCUGUAAAAACGUUUAAAAUUUCGAUGAUGACAUAUUAUUACGAAGAUUGAUCGAGUGGUUAGAUAUCUAAUCAAAAUUGAAACCCUUUUUUGGUUCUUGCCGGUACGUUAAUUUUUCCUUUUUAUGUGAGUUCCAAUCCAUAUACAAAACAAUAUUAUCUAACAAGUUUUCAGACACUUCACAUAAACACCAGCCUCCAAAUGUUCGUUAAACCGAGUCAAAGUUAAAACUUCUCCGUCAGCUAGUUUCCAGUGAAACACACCAUCAUAGUGUCUUACCAAUAUUAACUAGGAAAUUCAGCCAGAGUUUCCAUGUAAACACACAUCCAACUUUUCCGAUGCAUAGACCUUUUUUUUUCUAUAGCAUCCAAUGCUCAUAGACCACAACAUCUAAGUUUAUCAGUCUUUGUCUUUUCUUUUUUUUUUAAGAACUAUAGUCAAUUUUUAAGUUGCCUAAAAUGUUAAACAAUAGGAUUACCAAAAUUACGCCAUUUACGCGUGUCAUAACUUCCACCACAAACACACGCAAUGAUUGGAUUUACAUCCACCACGUCAGCAAAUUUGUCCGGCUCCCACAGCCCCAAUUCUCUUCCCAAAAGUCAAAUGAUUGGAGAACCACAGUAACCUCCGUGCUCCGCCGCACCACCCAACAACUCUAAAUCUCAACCGUCGAUUACGCCACGCAAUAGCCCAAGCCCAAAAAAAAUUAAAAAAUUUCACUAUAAAAAUGGAGAACCAGAGGAAGCUGUGGUCAGUUGGUUUAAACCAGAGUAAAACACAGAGAGAGAGAGAGAGAGAGAGAGAGAGAGAAUCAGAGUUAGUAUUAGUAGAAGAAGAAGAUGAUCAUAGUGAUUUAGGGCGGGUGAGACCCAUUUUUAGUCUUUUCCUCUCUCUGAAAGCUUUAAGGUCGCCACCGUCGCUCUGUCGGCAUAAAGUUCCGGUCUUUAUUCCGGGUUAAAAUGACGGAUUUCACUUUUUAAGUCGAGGAAAAAUCCCGACUUGGUCAUAGUUUCCGUGACCCAAUGCUUCCUUGAUUGUUUUUCUUGGUGGGUUUUUGUUCUUGAAGUCGAUUUUUGUUGAAAGACUGAAAAUUUCUGAUCUUUUUUGGUUCUGGGUUUGUGGUGAUAGGAACUUUCCGAUCAUGGUUGAGCUUUCUGGGUGAGUUUGGGAACUGAAAAAGCAGAUGAAUUUCAACAAGUUUUGAUUUUUGUUGAAUUGGGGAUUGGGGAUUGGUUUUUUGGAGGUUGAUUAGUUUUUUAUGAGUGGUUAACUUCAAGUUGGUUUUGUUUGUGCUUGAGUGAUCAACUUCAAGGUGGUGUUUUUAUUUGUGUUUAAUUUGAGUUUGAUUGUUUUUGGAAGAUUGAGAUGGUUCAUCAAAGAGCCUAGAUUUUUAGUGGAUAGAGUGUUGCCUUUUUUGGAUUUGACCCUUUGAUCUAUGAGGAAAACAAAAAUGACUUUAUUGCUUUGUUUAGAUUUGUUCUAAAGAUUUUUGCUUUUUGUUUUUUGUUAUCUUAGAUCAUCAUUGAGGUUACUGGGGUUAUGAGAUUGAAUUUAUUGAUGAAUUUUUGUGGGGCAUGGAUUGUUUUUGUUAGUGAUUGAAGUGAUCAGUUACUUAUUCAGUGGUUACUGCAUCAGGCAGGAACCCAUUCUUUUGGUCUCCAAUUGAGUCUCUCUGGCUUUCUGCUCUCUGUUUUUUUGGGCCAAAACUCUUUUGCCUUCAAAGAGAAAGUUGCUAGUUCAUCAUCUUUUAGCUUUCCAACAAAUUUGGGAGUCGAAAAUAUGGCAGUGUCUUUGACUCGUUUUUCAUGGUGCUGGUGGGGUGGGAAAGAGAAGGAGCCUGGGAAUAAUGGGGCUUCACUGAAUUCUCCAUUAGAGUGGGGUUUCGGGGGCCUGAGGGAACCUGGUACGGUUCAGUUCCCUUCGGUUAAGGGCACGAAAAUGGCCUCUUCGCCUAGAAAGGUGAAGCGGAAAUGGCAGAGUAGGGAGGAGAGGAGAAUUGACAGGGAGUAUGAUGUUGUGAUUGUGCCAUCAGAUGGUGGUGGUUGCUUGUCAGGGUCUGAAUCCGAUGACUCGGACUGGUCCAUUGGGUGGUUGGAACCUCAUGGUUCUGGUUUCCAGAGUGAUGAUGAGUCGGAUAAUAGUUUUGCAGUGCUGGUGCCUUGCUAUAGCCCUGGUUGCAAGGAGGUGGUGGAAGGUUCAAACAAUGAGCUUUUGAGUGCCAUCAAGAACCUCCCUGAUGAGUUCUCUCCUGGUGAGGAAUAUGUCUUUUUCUCACUGUUCAAUUAUUGUUUCUUGCUGAGUUUUGGUGUUCUUAAAUAUUUUCCUUGUAGAUCUUUUUGUGGUUGGAAUUAGUUAAUGCUUCUAAAUUAGGCCCUGUUUGGUGAUUACUUGCUCUUGGUAAUAUAACAGUUGGGGUUAUUCAUUUCAUACCAAAUCUAUCUAUUUAGGAGGAUCCUAAGUCAAUUAUUGUUAAAAUGGAGAAAUUUAUCUGUCACUGUCUUGCCUGAUUAUAGUUUAUGUGGGACAAUUAUUGGCUUAGUUUCUUCGUAAUGAAAAUCAGUUGGUGCUUAAGACACCCUAUAUUUUUCGGUUGCUAGAUACAUAUAACUUACUUUUGUGACUGCAAAUAUUUUCAAUGGUUGUAAGUAUAUUUGGGAAGUGGAACACACUAUGCUGCUGUAUGGUGACUUUGAAUUUCUGUUGUUAUAAUGUAAACAAGUAUUAAUCCUUGUUCUGAGCAUGAAGUCUCACAAAACUUGGAAGAAACCCUUGGGUUUUGGACCAAAGAAGCUGAACUUGUAUGAGAACCGAUACCGUGUUGAACAGAACAACUCGAGAUGGUGUUCUUGUCUUGUUAUUUAUUCCAGUGUUUAUUUGUCUGAAUGAUUAAGAAAUAAUUUGCUUACACUAGGAAAGAAUAUGCUUGUUGGUUUGUCAAAUUAUGCAUGCAGCCUGCUACUUGUCGUCUGUGGUUCUGUACUAAGUUAUGUUCUCCAGGUUUGAAAUAAGUUGUCCUUGCUAAAUUUUUGUGUGUUCGUUGUCUAUGCAGAUUGCAAGAAUUAUAUGGAACAAUGGCUGUCUUCUCUUCAAAACUUUGAUGCCUAAACUAGCUGUUAUCUCUUAAGGAUUGGCCCUACUGCACUGAGUUCUUCAUUUCGUGAUCCGCUUGAAGAAUCGGAGCUGUUGCAUAAUUAGCUAAAAGUAGAAAAUAAUCUAGAAUGGGAUAGACAGUGUGCCUCAGCAUCCUGCUUAGAAGCACCGAAGAUUAACCUGCAUCAGACUUGAGGAUAAGAAACCGAGAGCUUUUAGUUUUGUAGACAGCUGGGAAGACGAUUCUUGUUUUCCAGCAUGCUGAAUGCUCUAAUUGUCAUCCUUCUACUACUAGGCGCACAUCAACUAAUGUGAAAUAUGAUGGAUAUUCUUUUGUUGUAAAUAUGGUUUUUGUGAAAUAUGAUAAUGAUGAUUAUGCUAUCUUGUUCAUAUACUCCUUUAAACUUAAUUAAGGGCCAAGUCUGCUGAACUUUGCAGUAAACACUUGCUUUCCUGUUUUGGCAGUAGUGAGAUUUUAGAUUGCCAUUUUUGCUCUCACAGUCAAAUAUCUUGCCAUUCAGCUCCAUUAUCUUUGUUUUGAUGCAGGUCAAGAUCAAUGCAUAGGUCAUGGUGCUUUGUUUACUCCAUUAUUAUGCACUGAAUCCAUUUUAAAUGUAUCUGUCAAUUUCCUGCAUUGGGAUUGAUUUUGAUCAUCAUUUUCAUUUCAGUCACUCGUUCCAAAAAUGGCUUUGGAAAGCUCAUUCAAUUCUCUAUAUUACGUGGUAGAGGCAUUUUGUUUCUUGCUCUGUAGCUCAGGAUUACAGUGUUGACAAGAUGAGCUCUGAAUUUGGUUUUUAUUUUUUUGUCUUAUAAGGCUCUGCAGUCUGCAACUUGCAAAGGAGGGGCAUAGCCCUUUGUCAGGUUGAAGUGGACCACCAGGAAUUGUGGUUGGCAGAUGUUUGCCUUGAGGCGGGUUUGGUUAGGAAUCAAGUGGCUUUUGUGUACAGAAAGUGUUGGUUGACACUUGAAAGGUCCUUCAACAAAGACAGCCCUUUCCAUCGAGUGGAAGAGGUAAGGUGUUUGGAUUGUUGUUGGAUGCUCUUGGCCCUCAAACUACAGUCCUUUCUUUGGAACAUGCUUCUUCAUCAAGAUUACUGAGCAUUGCAAUCUAGUGGAGGCAAGGUUUACAUCAAUAAAAGCAAUUACUUCUUGUGCUUCUAUGAAGAUAUGACAAUGGAUGUCGAAUUAGUACUUUAUCUUUAGGACCAGGAGGCUUGAGGCGAAAUUUUAAGAUGAAAUAGGAUAAUAUAUCGACUAAUGAACUGUCAGACUAUAGUGCGUGUGUUUUGUGGGGUGGUCAGAUAGUGGUUUAUAGAUUUUUUUUACCAACGACUCGGAUGACUGACAAUAUGAUACCCAAACACUGUUCGUGCAAAAAAUGGUUAGGUUCACCAUCGACCAACAUGUGCACAUAGUUCGAUCAACAAAUGCAUAUGCCACACAUACCUCAUUUUUUUAAGUGAAUUAUUUAUUUGUAAAACAUGUCCCAUAAGAUUCCAUGAUUGUUAAUUUCUUCAUUUUCUUGUCAUUCAAGAAAUAGUUAACAGAAAUACCCUGACUUGGGGUUGGGGGCACCCAAAGGUUGGUCCUAGUCCACUCUUCUAUAUGGAGUCUUGUCCUGCAUCAAAUUUAGGUUCUUCUAAAAGAUCAUCACAAAAAGAAAAAUGUUGGGUCCAUCACAUACUACUUCUACCACUUCUCCCUUGAUCUUAAUCUUUAUCUUUAACUUUCUAAGAAAAUUCAACAACAGAAAAAUUAGAAAAGUCAGUUCUGCAAUGUUCCCAAGCAAAUAAGAAAUGAGGAGGGUGCUCUUUCACAAAAGCAAGGAAUGCCACAUGCUCCCACAUCACUGGUUUAGCAUCCUAAUAAUUCUUCAAGAUUUUUUAUUUUGUUUUUUAUACAAAUAGAGGAACUUUGUCCAGCUCUGAUGUUAAAUAAAAUAUUUUCUUCUUUAUAUAGAUGCAAAGAUUGUGUCUUUAAUUUUCAAAAACAAGACUUUGACAUAAUAUUCGGGCGAAGUUUGCUCCCCUCCAUGAUCAUAUUUAGAAAGUUGAUGUCACCUUCCUCUGCUGUGCACGUUGUUCUUCCUCAAACUCUGCCUUUGCUUUUCAGUUUUCCUCUUUGAUUCAAACACACCCUUUCUUUCUCUCUCUUCUGAUUUUUGAUCGUCACAACUCCUCCAAUGCUUUGGUCAGAAAAGAAGUAGGGUUGCAUGGUUUUGGUCUGAAAAGAAAGCGGAAAAGGAUUCGAGCAAGGACUAAAGAUGUUACAGAGAGCUGCAAGCAAUGCAUAUUCAUGGUGGUGGGCAAGUCACAUCAGAACAAAGCAAUCGAAAUGGCUCGAACAAAACCUCCAAGGUAACAUGAUUGUAUAUUGCAUCAAAUACUAUAUUGAUCUUUGUACAUAUUGGAUUGAAUCGAUCUGUUAGAAAAUCUUCUGGUUUUGAUGAUGAGAUUUGAACCAAUGUCAUUGGUGCCAUGUGAUGCUGGAGUCACAAAACUUGCAUAUUCUACGAUAAAAUAUUAUGCUGAUUACUUACAUAUUGCAAAAUACUUGUAAGUUUUGGCAUUCUAGAUCGAUUUGCACAGUUGCAGACUGGAUUAUGUUCUUCUCAGAUAUUGCAAAGAUAGUACUAGUCUAUCAGAUAAUUAUUAUUGCUAGUUCUGGCGGUUUACAAUAUCUGAUUAGCUUGCAUUCUAGAUCAACUUUCCAGGAACAAAUAUGUAGAGCAAUUGAUGACUGUUCUCUAAAAAGAAGCUAGGCGUCGCGUUUAGAUCUUCCAACUCUUCUAACUGAUACAGAAACAUGUUUAUUGGAUUUUGUUGUGCUUUGAAACAUAUGAACAUGCUAUCUAAUUUAUUGAUUUCUUUUUUUUUCUUUUCCUCCUCAACAUUGUUAUGUUAGCGUAUCUUUGCAUUAUGAUCAGAGUACAGAUGCUAUGUUUUCCAUGUUCGUUUUUUGAUUCUACUCAUUCUGAUCUUCACAUAAUGGAAUUGCAGAUAUGGAGGAAAAGGUGCAACAUGUGCUUCGCCUCAUUACAGAAGAUGGAGACUCGUUUGCCAAGAGAGCAGAAAUGUACUACAAGAAAAGACCAGAAUUGAUACAAUUCGUGGAAGAGACCUACAGAGCUUACAGAUCCUUGGCUGAACGGUAUGAUCACCUUUCGACCGAGCUACAAAAUGCCAACAACACCAUUGCGUCUGUUUUCCCCGAACAAGUUCAGUUUGCAAUGGAUGAUGAAGAAGAAGCGCCUGCACCUAAACCGAAAAAGCCUCUAGACAUGUCAAAAAACGUCCCAGAGGUGCCGAAGGCUCCUACUAAGGAUUUGAAGAGUCUUUUGUCGCGAGCAGCAGUUGGCAAAAAGAAAUUCCAGCCUCAGAAGUCGGUGAAAAAAUCAUCAACUGUCAAAACAGUUAGGAAAUCUGGUUUGAGCAAAUCUGAGGGACUAGAAGAGAUUGACAAGAUUCAGAAGCAGAUUCUGGCACUGCAAACCGAGAAAGAGUUUGUGAAGAGCUCAUACGAGAACGGACUUUCCAAGUACUGGGAGAUUGAGAAUAACAUCAAGGGAAUGCAAGAGAAAGUAAGCAGCUUGCAAGAUGAGUUUGGUGAGGGUCUGGUGAUUGAAGACGAUGAUGCUCGGAGUUUGAUGGCAGCGGCAGCAUUGAAGUCAUGCCAAGAUACAUUGACUCAGUUGGAGAAGAGACAAGAAAGUUCAGCUGAGGAAGCAAGAGUUGAGUCACUAAGGGUUAAGGAUGCGAGGAAGGUAUUUGAGUCUCUCAAAAAUAAGCUUCCAAAUGAUCAGAUUCAGACCAAUAAUGCAAAAGAUGAAGUAAAAGCAGUUAAGGAGACAAGUUCAGACCAGAGAGCGGAGAGUGCAACUCAUGAGAAAGAGAAACUAGAGACGUUACGAGAGAAAAUCAAGGAACACUAUGAUGCAAUAUCAAAUGAAUCUCUCACUGUUAGUGAAAUGGCAGAGAAGAUUGACGAAGUUGUGAGUAAAGUGAUCAGCUUAGAGACUGCUAUUUCAUCCCAGACAGCUCUAGUUGAUAGAUUAAGAAGUGAAAACAAUGAGAUAUGUGAUCAAAUUCGAACUCUGGAAGAUGAAAAGGCGACUCUAAUUGAUGGAAAGAACGACUUGAGUAAACAGCUGAAGGAGUUGGAGGAAGCGUUGCGCCGAGCUCAGGAGCUAAACAACAAUGUUGAAAGCCAGAAUAACAAUCUCCAGAUACAUUUUACUGAAGCGCAUUAUAGCCUUGAUCACAUUUCUCAUAAACUGGAAACCGUGAAGCCAAAUGAGGAGCCAAGUGCCUCAGACUCAUCAAAAACAAAUGAGGAUUCUCUUGGUACAGCCAAGUCGGCAGUUGAUCCUGCCAAUGGUCUCAAGCCAGUGCAGGAAGUGAAGUCAGAUGAAGACCAGAAGCCUACAGUUUUAGAGCAUAAAGAUGAAGCAUCUUCAGCUGAAGUGACACCUUCUACACAUCAUGAGGAAAGACCAAAUCUUGAUGAUAGUUCAGUGAAAAUUAUAGAUACUCCGAGUAACUCUAAUGGUGAUAAAGGAAAGGAUGGUUGCCAAUCACCCGUAAAGAAACAACAAAAUGCAAGCGAUGGUUCUGUAAAAGCUAAAGAAGUGCUCAGUACUUCUGCUGGAGCUCAAGGAGGAGAUAUUUGUACUCCAAGGCAGACAAUGGGUAGUUUUCUUGAUAUGGAAGUAAUCGAUGAUGAUGAUGAUGAUGAUCUGGAGCCAACGCAUGAAGAUAAGCCAGACUGGCAGAAAUUGUUUACAACUGGAUUGGCAGACAAAGAAAAGAUUCUAUUGAAAGAGUACACUGCAACUCUUCGGAACUACAAGGAUCUCAAGAAGAAGUUUAGUGUGACUGAGAAUGACCUCUUUGAAACAUCAGUGCAGAUGAAACAACUGAAGAGUAGCAAUGUCUUGAAGGAUGAAGAGAUCAAAGCAUUGCAUAAGAAAUUGGACCUUCUCAUACAGAGUUUAGAUGGAAAUCAAGAAGCACUCAAAGCUUUAGAGCAGGGGCAGACACCAACAGAGAAGGAAGAGAAUGAUUCAGUCAAGGACCUUCUAAAUGAUAAUUCUCCCACUACAUCAGCAAUCGAGGAAAAAUUCCGAGCUAACAUUGAUGAACUGUUGGAGGAGAACUUGGAUUUCUGGUUAAAGUUUAGCACUUCGUUCCAUGAGAUACAGAAGUUUGAAACCAGUAUCCAAGAUUUACAGUCGGACAUAUCAAAGCUCGAGGAUAGAAGAAAGAAAGAAGGAAGUAGUCAUGCAAGGAGUUCUGUGAAAUCAGAUGCACGGCCGUUAUACAAGCACCUAAUGGAGAUACAGACUGAACUAAACGUUUGGAUGGAAAAGAGUUCGCUCCUGAAAGAUGAACUUCAGUGCAGGUUUGCUUCUUUGUGUGACAUCCAAGAAGAAAUAACCAAGGCCUUGAAGACAAGUGCCGAGGAUGGAGACUUCGACUUUACAAGCUACCAAGCUGCAAAGUUCAAAGGCGAGAUUUUAAAUAUGAAACAAGAGAAUAACAAGGUUGGAGAUGAGUUACAAGCAGGGUUGGAUCAUGUGACAGCACUUCAACUUGAAGUAGAAAAAGCUAUGGGAAAGUUGAACGAGGAAUACAAAUUCUCUGCAUCCAUAAAGAAGCAGCAACCAGCUCAAGCGCAGCUGACACAUACCGAGAGCCGCUCCAGAGUUCCUUUGCGGUCAUUUAUCUUUGGUGUCACACCAAAAAAGCAAAAGCGAUCAAUCUUCGCUGUUGUUGCCCCUGCUAUGCAUAAGAAAUACCAUGGAAAAUCUAGAUCCACCUCUAACCAGCAGUAAACCGUUUCACUGUUUUGCUGUUGGUGUUUUUUCACUUUCAUUUCCUGAAUGAGAGGUUUUGUAUUUUAAGCAUGGAACAGUAUUUUUUGACAGGUUUCAGUAGUGUCUCUCCUUUUCUAUUAGGUCUCUUUUUUCUUUUUUAUCUGGGAACAUCUGUUAUUUAUUUAUCACCUCCCAUUCAUCUUUUAAAGUGAACUUAAACAACAGAAGCAUUCGGACCAGUUAUUUCAUUUUGGCAUGCAUUUAACUCCACUUUAGUGGUGCAUAGUGUUUAGUCAAUACCGGUGUACCAUACGUGUUUGUUUUUGAUCCGGAAGUGUAAUCUUUUACUUAACGUCAACAAAGACAUGUUUUGGUAUAUGGUUAUUUCACUCCAGUUUUGAUGUUGUAUGUUUAAUAUAGGGUUUGCAUCAUAGUUCAGUACCAGUUAUUCUCUGUAUGAAAAUCAGAUUCAGACUCAAAAAAGAAGGAAAGAGAAACUACAAUCAGAUGAAAUCAAUGGAACAUAGCUGGAAAUCUUGUAUACCGUGGGUGAACAUUUGAUAAAUCACUUGAAAUCCCUGAAACUUGAAAAACUUGAAGUUCCAGGCAACACAAAAAGACGAAUGACAUAAAGUGGCUCAGUUUAGCCUUAAUGAAAAAUUUAAUGUUGAACUAAAUUGAAACACAAGAACAGUUCUGCAAAUCUGGAGCAAUGCUUUCCUUCUAUAUUAUUCAACUGCAAACUGGUGGCUUUAUAAGCCUUACAGGGAAAGAGAUUAAAAAACAAAUUGCACCCCACGUUCAACACUAACUAACAAUGUGGAUCAUGGACUAAACUGAAUUCAAACCUAAAAGCACUUCCCUAACAAAUGGGGAUUAUUAUCCAACACAAACAGAAACAAACAUAACAAAUUUGACAGCUAAGCAACAGCUUCCCAACACAGCCUCCCCUAAACUGAAUGCAAGGUGCAUUCAGUUUAAACUUGGCAUCUUACACACUCCCCACGCAGCUUCUCAAAGGACUCUAGCUUCAGUGGCUUCGUCAUAAUAUCAGCAACUUGAGCUUGAGAACUACAAUGAACUAACUUGACAGCUCCUUCCUUUGUGAGAUCUCGAAGAAAAUGGAACCGUACGUCUAUAUGUUUGCUCCUCCCGUGCAACACCGGAUUUCUUGAUAGCUUUAUAGCUGAGCUGUUGUCACAAUAUAUAAUAGUACCCUCUCUCUGAACAUGGCCAAGUUUCUCUAGAACUCUACGCAUCCAUAUGGCUUGACAAGCACAAGCUGCUGCAGAAAUAAACUUGGCCUCUGUGGUUGAUAAAGUGACAACUGACUGCUUUUUUGGAAGACCAUGAAACUGCACCACUGCUAAGCAUGAAGGCAUAUCCUGACGUGCUCCUACGAUCAUCCAAAUCUCCUGCAUAAUCACUGUCCGAGUAUGCUUCAAGCUUCUCACUCCCAUUCCUCUUGUACAUAACUCCAUAAUUCACAGUCCCAUUAAUGUAUCAAAACACCCUUUUUACCGUCUGCAUAUGCUGCUCCGAUGGCCUCCCCAUAAACCUACCCACCAAACUAAUCACAUACAUAAGAUUGGGUCGAGUAGCUGCCAUAUACAUUAAGCAUCCCACCAUUUGUUUGUAUAGGCAUAAACCUACCCACCAAACUAAUCACAUACAUAAGAUCGGGUCGAGUAGCUGCCAUAUACAUUAAGCAUCCCACCAUUUGUUUGUAUAGGCAUGCAUCUGCUUUCUCACUAAGAUCAUCUUUGACCAACUUGACUCCACGAACAAUGAGAUUUCUAACUGAGUUGCACUUUUCUAUCUUGAACCUCUCCAAAAUCUCCAUUGCAUACUUCCUUUGGCACAUAAAUAUCCCAUCCCUGUUUUUGAAUCACUUCAACUCCAAGGAAGUAACGCAUCUCUCCCAAAUCAGUCAUAUCAAAUUCAAGCUUCAUAGAUCUUUUAAAAUCUUCAAACAUACUCAUAUCUCUCCCAGUAAAAAUUAAAUCAUCAACAUACAAGCUCAAGAUAAGUACAAUACCUCCUUCACCAGUCUUCACAAACAAAGUGUGCUCAUAUGGGCAUCUCUCAAACCCUGCCUUGAUGAAGUAAGCUUCGAUGUGACUGUACCACGCACGGGGAGCCUGCUUGAGGCCGUCCCAGUUUGUAUACUUUCUUCUCAUCACCUUUCUUCACAUACCCUUGUGGUUGAUCCACAUAAACUGACUCAUCAAGUUCCCUAUGAAGAAACGCACUCUUUACAUCAAGUUGAUAUACCUUCCAUCCCUUUUGUACAGCAAGAGCAAGCACCAUUCGAAUGGUGUCCCAUCUUGCCACUGGAGCAAAGACUUCAGUAAAAUCUACCCCGUACUCUUGAGCAUACCCCUUUGCAACGAGACGAGCCUUGCACUUGUCUAUGUCACCAUUCUAGUUCAACUUCAUCUUGAAAAUCCAUUUGACUCUGAUUGUCUUAGCUCCAUCCGGCAGAUCACACAACUCCUAAGUGUUAUUUUUCUCAAUUGACUGAAUUUCUUGAUCCAUUGCUGCCCUCCACUUGGCUUCUCUGCAAGCUUCUUUGAAAUUUGCCGGAUCUACAGAGGUAAACAUCACCAUGUUGUGCAGCCCUUCAUCUUCUUCUCCUUCUCCUCCUGAGAAACCCUCUCCACUUACAUAAUCAUUCAAGUAAGGCGGAGCUCUUCUUGUUCUUCCUGCCUCUUGACCUUCUUCUUCUUCUUCUGUUGGUUCACUUGAGGAAGAGUCACUUCCACUAUUUUCCUCAUUACUGCUUUCUUCUUCUUCAACACCUUGAAGUUCUCCAUUCACUUCUUCAUCCUCAUUCCACUUUAACACAUCUAGUUUCACAGCCUCUGUAUCUCUGCCCCAAUUCCAGCUUUCGUCCUCUUCAAAGAUCACAUCUCUGCUAACAAUGAUGCACUCUUCCACUGGAUCAUACAACCGGUAGGCCUUGGAUUCUUCACUCACCCCAAACAUCACACACUUGAGGCUUUUAUCAUCAAGUUUCUUCCUCUUUGCUUCAGGUAUAUGUGCGUGUGCAACACAACCAAAAACUCUAAGGUGGUGCACUGUUGGUUUCACUCCACUCCAUGCCUCUUCAAGGAUAACAUCUUUUAUGGCACGUGUUGGACUUCAAUUAAGAAUAUGAACUGCCUAAUUGACUGCUUCCGGCCAGAAAAUUUUAGGGACUUCUUUUCCAGUUAAAAUACUUCGAACCAAUUUCAUGAUGGUCUGGUUUUUUUCUCUCGACCACCCUGUUUUGCUGUGGGGUGUAUGCUGUGGUCAAUUGCCUGCGAAUGCCAUUAGUAUUGCAAAAAUCUUUAAACUCCUGGGAAUUAUACUCACCACCUCUAUCUGUUCUCAAGCAUUGAAUGUAUGAACCUGUUUUCUUUUCAACUAGGGCUUUAAAAUUCUUGAAUGUAGCAAAGGCUUGUGACUUCUUAGCUAAGAAAUAAACCCAACACUUUCGACUGAAAUCAUCAAUGAAACUGAUGAUGUACCUUUUCAUGCUGCUUGACUCCGGUGUAAUAGGUCCACAUAUGUCCGAGGAGUUGGAACUAAUGAGAUGCUCGCCACAUGCUCUUCUUAGGUAUAGGUUCUCUGCGUUGUUAUCCUGUCACACAGUCUCGGCACAAUUUGCUUAGUGCUUUGAUCUCUGGCAACCCUUUCACCAUCUUCCCAAAUUGCAAUGUUCUCUGUCCUUUGAAGCCAAGAUGUCCAUACCGACAAUGCCAUAACUGAGUGAUGUCGUCUGUGGCAGUAUUAAAACAUGCAGAGACUCUAGGCAACAUAUUUGCAAUAAGCACAAACAUUCUAUUAGCAGUCAUAGUUGUUUGUAUGAUCAAACAUUUUCGAAGAUGAUAGACUCGGCAUGGUCCAUUCUGAAUUAAUAUUGCCACUCCUCUUUCUUGUAAUUGUCUAAUGCUGAGCAGGUUAUUCUUCAACUCCGGAAUGAAGAACACAUUGUUGAUCAUAUGUGCAACUCCAUUUAUUUGUAACCUGAUGUUACCUUUUCCAUCACAGCCAUCCUGAAGUUGUUGCCGAGCUUCACAUAGUGUCUAUACUUCUCAUCUAGAUCACUAAACCACUGCUUGUCUCCACUCAUAUGGUUGCUACAUCUAGAAUCCAAGAACCAAACCUGCUCUGUUUUGGCAUCAUUCAUCUCAACAUGUGCCAUCAGCAACAUUUCUUCAGUCUCAUCUAGCUCUGCAUAGUUUGCAUUCUUCUCCCAUUCAAGGCACUCAUAUUGGAAGUGCCCAAAUUUAUGGCACUUAUAGCAUUCCACCGGUGCUUUGUUGAACGGUCCUCUUCCUCGACCUUUUCCUCUGCCUCUAAAGCCUCCUCUUCCUCGACCUUGGUCUCCACGGCCUCUUCCUCUACCACUAGCAAUGUCUUCAAAGAAAACUUUUAGGGCUUGUUCAUCACCACCAUUCUUCCGAAACUUUUGCUCAUGAACAAGUAAUGAGCUCUGCAAUUCAUCCACAUAAAGGGUAUCGAUGUCCUUCGACUCUUCAAUGUAACACACAAUAUAGUUGAACUUCUCAGUCAGGGUGUGCAAAAUCUUUUCAACAAUCUUCAUGUCCUGCAUGUCCUCUCCAUAAUUGCGCAUGUCAUUGGCCACAAGCAUAACUCUUGAGAAGUAGCUUGUAAUUGUUUCUCCCUAUUUCAUCUCUAGCACCUCAAAUUCUCUUCGUAAAGCCUGGAGAUGAGCUCGCUUUACUCUCACGUUCCCCUGAUGUUUCCUCUUUAUAGAAUCCCACAACUGUUUGGAGGUGUCCUUUUGAAGAAUGGUCUUCAAAAUGGACUUGUCAAUUGACUGAAACAAGUAAUUCUUCGCCUUGAGAUCCUCCAACCUCAAUUCCUCCAAAGUUUUUCUCUAAGCCGCACUCAUCGUCUCAACAGAUUCUCCAUGAGCAUACACCAAUGCUCAUAAUCCCCAUCGAAUUUGGGAAUACAUGGUUGAGCAAAAUGGCUCCCUUCGGCAGCUGCCAUCUCUCACGCACUAUUUCUUUCAUGUUUCACUCAAACACCUUCUCUCUCAGUAUGUGUUUCACUCUCUUUAAUCUCUCACAAUCAGGCCCUCAAGGGGCUCUGAUACCAGAACUGUUGAACUGAAUUGAAACACAAGAACAGUUCUGCAAAUCUGGAGGAAUGCUUUCCUUCUAUAUUAUUCAACUGCAAACUGGUGGCUUUAUAAGCCUUACAGGGAAAGAGAUAAAAAAAAAAAAAACAAAUUGCACCCCACGUUUAACACUAACUAACAACAUGGAUCAUGGACUAAACUGAAUUCAAACCUACAAGCACUUCCCUAACAAAUAGGGAUUAUUAUCCAACACGAACAGAAACAAACAUAACAAAUUUAACAGCUAAGCAACAGCUUCCCAACAUUUAAAGCUUUUAUAUACAUCCUUAGAGAGCUUUAUGAACUAUCUUUUCUCUGUUUUCUUUCCCCCAACAUUUGAGCUAAUCUAAUCGAGAGAACUGAAGUACAGGGGAUAGCUAUUCACACAUUGAGAAAAGAAUCCCCUUAUGUCAAUCCACAGAUAGGUCAAGAACAUUGCUCUUAUGUACAAAAUGACACUUCUGACACGACCUUUGCUCCCCUUCCUUUGGCUAUGUAAAGGCCUAUGUGAUGCAUUAGAUCCUGAAAGGUAACCAAAGUAUCACACAUGAGGAGAUCUUUUGUUCUAAAAUACAAAUAGGAUACAAAUACAUAACAAAAAGCUGGUAGGUUCUGGCUUUCUGUAUUAAAGGACUGGAAUAGCAAGAAACUUCUCAGCAAUCAUUACUAGAUUCUUUGCUCUUGCAAUCCAAACUCUACCUAAUGCAUUGUAUGUCCCAUAAUAGGAUCCCGUUCUCCUACACUUUCCCAGGACUUGAUGACUAUAUAUAGCUAUUACCUUGACUCCAAACAAGAAUUCAACAUGCAGUCCUGGGUAUCCAAAGUAUCUGACUAUACAUCUAUGAACUAAGAACCUAGAAUGAACCCAAACUCUAGACAUUAAGCUAUGAACUAAGAGUGUCAUAGUAGACAUCUAGAACUAACAAGAAUAGGAUUGGAACACAUAAUUCAGAGACAAAUAAAAAAAAAAAAGAAUGAUCUCUUUGGGGGAGAAUUAGUGCAGGUAAAGGUAUAGACUGUCAAAAGAUGAAAAACAAUUUAGUACCUGCGGAUGUGCUGCAACAUCUUUCAUAGAUUUGACCACAUCAACCGGAAGAUCAAAAGUGGCACAACCACGGGAAUACACUAUCACAUCCUCCAGAGGUUCAAGAAAACGACGAUUUCUGGCAGAUAAAGUGGUACAUACAAAAUCCAGCACACAUAUAUCUGUGCAUAUCCCUAGCACCAAGAUCUUCAACAACAAGCAAGUUACAAAAUUAGACAGAAACAACAAAUACUCAAAAGCCACCAGCAAACCAAAACAUACAAAGACAAAUUGCACAAACUCUCACAAGCAAACAAACAGUUUCCGGGUUUGGUAAAUGCUUACAGUCUUGAUCUGAUUGCUCUUAAUCCAAUUCACAAACACAUUAGAACCGUCUUUCUCAAUCGAACCAAGAAACCCAUCAAUGCAAUCUUUACAUUUCAGUGUCACAUUAGGUUCAUUCUCCAACCAUUGCAGAUCUGCAAAUAGGUUCCAAUCCAAACAUUUUAGUCAAAGACUAACAUACUUUACAAAUUACAGAAACCCGAAAAAAGCACGAAAAUUUACAGCAUUGAGCUAACCCCAGUAACAAACGAGCAAAAGGGUACCUGGAACCAGCUUUGAUUCAUCAGUGCCAGCAAUGCAAUGAGGAGGAUAAGGAUACUCAGGGAUAUCAGGGUGAUGAGAAUCAAGAAAGCCGAGAACAGGCCAUUUCUUCUCACAGAAAACUCCGGCAAGUCUCACCGCCUCCUUCACCAUUUCCGAGAUUUGCUUGUUCGGUUGCCUUGGAGCCUAAUCAAUCACACAUGCAAUAAGUUACAUGACAAAGAAACAAUAUCAUGACAAAGCAACAGAUAUGGAGACAGAUAAAUAGAUUGAAUUUACCAAAUUGCCAGCGCCGACGGUGCAGAAGCCGUUAAUGACGUCGACGAGGACAAGGCCGGUCUUGACGUCGCCGGUGACAUGUAUAGAUUCCUGGUGCACCGGUAUCUGCUCCUUUAACAAAUCAACUGUACGUGGCACCAUUUUUCUUGGUUUCUUUUUGUGUUCAAGAAAAGGUGUGGCUGCUGCUGAUCAAGGUGAUAAGAAGAAUCAAAUGAACCAACAAUGAGAUUUGAAUGAACAAGGAAAAGGAGUAGUAGUUGUAAGAAGUCAAAAGAAGUAGGCAAGGAAUCUUGAAUGAAGGAGAAGGGGUUUUGGGCCAUUGGAUUUGUUAAAGGUGGUUAAAGAAAGGAGACCAUUGUCCCCCGUAAAAGGUGGGUUUUGACUAGUAGAGUAGACCUUGGGUGUUUUUAUCAGUGUGGACAAAGAUGAAUAGGGUCUUUUUGCCUGUGUGACAAGAACCAAACAAGUACUUUCGCUUUGGUGGUAAUUAUUUUAGGGUUGUGAAAUUAAAAUUCAUACAUCAUUUUUAGUUAACACAUUUAUAAAAAGAUAAAUUUUAAGUCACUAAAGACAACAUUUAAGUUACCAAAAAAAGAAAAAUGGUGUGCAGAUUUCAAUUUAGGGUGUAUAGAUUUCACAUAUUAAUUUAAGUCGCUAAAAACAAAAUUUAAGUUACUAAAAAAAGAAAAUGAGUGUAUAGGUUACAAUUUAAGGUACGUGGAUUCUCUAUUUUAAUUAGGGAAGUUACAAUCAGCUUAAGAUUAAGGUAUCAAAAUGGGUCAAUCAAAAGGAGAAAGAAUAGAUAUUGAGGUUCGUCUAGCCAAUCAUGUGAAACGGGUUGAAGUGCCGGAAAUUUAAUCCGAUCCGGCAAGAUAAAGACUCAAACUAAUGAAAUUCUAGAGGGAUAAGUGGGGGGAAUGAUUCGGAGUACCAAUGUGCAUCAAUAAUCAGACACAUUCUUUUUGGUUGGCUUUUAAACAUCGUUGCCCCAAAAUUCGUCGUAAACAGCUCAUUGUGAUGUUGUUCUUGAAUACGCUGCAUAUGUAGCUCAUCUACCACCUAUGGUAUGAUGGUAUGAUGCAAAACGCAAAUCCUUCUCUUUACCAUCACUGUAUAGAGCAUUUACUAUUAACAUGUUAACAUACAACGUUGCACAUCCUGGUGAUCACCACCAAAAGACAUGUACAUGGCUGACUAUGCUGUCUAGAAAGGGAAAAAAAGGGAUGAGGAUCAUUCACUGCGAAACCGCCACUACAAAGGAAGUUAAGAGUAAAAGGGACAGGAAGAGGGUUACAAGAUACAUCCAGUUGGAUAAGCUGCGUAGAACUAGAAGACUUUAUGAGUAAAGAUCUCAUUUGCCCUCCUUUUUGUCCUCUUGUGGGAGUUGUAAACCCAUAAGGCCAAGCAAAUUGGAAGCAGGACCAGGAAGGCCUUGUUGGCUAGAGAAGGAAUCAAGAAGACUCUUUACCAGAUUCACAUCCACAUCCACAGGAGUGAAAUCCUCCUCCAUAUCUUCUGCUGCAUUCGAUGUUCCCUGUACACACAUAGGAAGUGUAUCAAUUCAUGCUAGACAAAAUUCCGAAGAACUAUGCAUGCCUUUAUACAAAAUUUCAACCUGAAAUAGUGAAAUGUAGCCUAAAUUGACAAAAGAGAGAGAAAAAAACCGUAAAACCAAUCAAUUCAUAAGCAAAGAUGAGGCAGAAUCAUAAGAAUAUAGAUGCUAUCAACUGUCUCACCCAAACAAAUUGUAAAUUAUUCAGAUUCAGACAAUUCCUCACCAAAAAAAAGUAUAAAUGAAGUGAAAAUUGGAUACUCUCCCAUGGCAAAUUGCAUAUGAAAACAACGGUUACAAGUAACUACCCAGAGAAAAUUGUAGUUGAAAAUGUUUUAGUGUAUCCUGUAGUGUAUGUCAUGCAUAUUGGUGAUUGCACAUUUGAAUACCACUAAAGAACACAGUUUCCUAUCUCCAUUUGCAAAAUAAGGGAAAGUAUAUACCUCAUCUUUCUUUGGGGCUUGUUCAUUAGCACGCACAAAACUCUUCUCAAGUGUAGUGCUCUUCAAUUCUUCAUUUAAAGCAUCAGAGUAAGAAUGCAUGAAAGUAUCCUCUCCGUCCUCAAUAUCUUCAGAAAGUUCUGCACCAUCUAUUCCAUCUUCCGAAUCAUCUGUGAAUAUCAAAAGUUCAAUUACAACAUUCCCCAAAUAUAAUCAAGUUGAGAUGUUAUGUAACAACUUUCUCUAAUGAAUCUCAUCGACUAUCCAGUUAUUUGAGACAAGAAUCUCAUUUAACAUGGAAACUACGUUCGCUAAUUAUGGCAGAAAUACAGUACAAUAUCUAUUAGCAUAAAUGAAGAAAACGAGGCGGUAUAACUUAGACAAAGGAUUACAUGCACACAUCCAUGGGUCCAACAGAAAUUAAGACAUCAGCAACCACUAAAGCUUACAAGAGAGGGAGGAAUGAUCAAACAAAUGAUCACCCAAGUCAAGCCCAUGGCUCAUAUUAGCUAGAGAAAGUGGCAGCUGCAACUUCCAAAAACAAGAGCUCGAAACUUCUUGGCUAAAUGCGGAAGGAUAUGCAAAUCUGAAAGCCUCGGUUGGGCUUAACCCUCAAAUGCAUUUAUCCAAUCCACUAGCAACCAAACCAACAUGGAUACUGGCGAUUUAUCAAUCUCUCGGAGAGGACAUAGCAUCCAUGAAUCAACUUCCCAACCAUUAUCAAAUUAGGGCCGACCAUCCAACUUAGCAUAUCAUCAUCAAUUGGAAUAGUUGCAUGCCUUUUCCAUUACCCCACCCCGCCAAAAUAUUAAACUUGAGAAUCAGCUACAGUUUGACAAAUCAUUCAACUUCCCAACCAUUAUCAAAUAACUUAGCAUAUCCUCAUCAAUUUGAAAUAGUUGCAUGCCUUUUCAGCUACAGUUUGACACAGCAUUUACGACAUUAUAUAUUAGAUACCUUCAUGUUUAUUCUGAAGUUUGAAUUAGAGUUAUAUUUUCUUUUAGUUCUUUCAUUCAACAUCUCAUCUCUUUUACUGAGUGAGAGUUGUAUUUCUUCUAAUCACAGAUAUUGGCUCAAGAUAAAAUUAUGCAACAGCAAUUGAAAACCAGUCUAUUAAAGGGAAAAAAAAAAAACAUGCAUGUCUUACCAAAAUCCAAGUCGGAUGAAGACCCUUCUUCAAUAUCAUCAUCACUUCUACCUUCUUCACCACCAUGACUUUUCAUCAUUGACUCUACAUCUUUGAAGAAACAGUCCGCAUCAAGGUCCACGUCUUUUAGGUUCCUUCACAAGAGAAAACAAAACAUAAUACGAUCAACUUCUCAAACCUCAAUCGUUAAUAAAGACAGCAAAUUAUGUGUGCACAAUCCAAUACUACAGCAGCUUAAUGUGCAAGGCUUCAAAGAAUACUCAGUUAACAUACUUUUAAGUUGCAUAUUGAGGUCUGUGAAGAAUUUUUUAGUGGGCAGCACAUACUUGUAAGUGAUUCAAGAUAGAAGCAACUGCUUCAUCCAAUUAAACACUAGAUGUCAUUUUAUAAACUAAAUUCAGGGCAUGUAAAGCUGAUAAAUCAGAUAAGCAGGUCCAAAUUAUGUCUCUCGCUUUAUGCCAUGCUGGUCACUGCUUGGCUCUACUUAUGUCACCUUCGAUAGUGAAGACCCAAUAGGAAAAAUGAGGUACACAAUUUUUGUAAUUGAGACUUUUUUAGCACAGGCCUGCAUGUAGACUUUCUUUUUCUCUGUUCUUUGCCUAGUUACAUACAUUAGUGAUGAUUAAGUUCUAUUUCUUUUUUAACAAAUUGAGGAAGGAAAACUUAUACUAACAUUAAAUUUAUGAACAAUUUUGUUUAAUGUUUACACUAAUAUGUAAGUUAUUGCACGUAUCAGACUUGCGCAACCCGGCUCAUUUGCCAUUUCACUCAUCUAGAUGCAUGCAAACCAGAUGAUUCACUAAAAAAAGGCAAAAGUGCUUCAGUAACAGGGCUUCAGCGGCCUUGGAAUCCAUACAAAGGAAGGAUCCAUAUAGAAAUAGGUUUUAGUCUUAGCACUCCACAUCUAUCAAACUAUCAGAGCUAAAAGCACAAGUUCGAAUAAUCUAAAUUGUAACCAUCAGCACUAAAAGCAGAUGUGCACAUCCAUUGUAAUUGCUCCAAUUUCUGUGUUUGGGAUAAACUUAGGUGACAACUCAUGAAGAACUGAUACACAAACAUAAGUAAUAGAUGUACACUGACCUGUUCUCAGGAACCUCGGCUCCCUUGUAGCUUGACACUUUUUCGACAAAGGCCUGCAUGGUUUUGGCUAUAUCACCAGGAUUGAACGCAUCAGAGUUAGAGCUAGAGGAUGGACCAACAUUGUCCUGCUCUUUUGACUUCUGCGUCUUCUUAUGUUUUAAAUCAUACAGUUCCAUCUCCUUUUGUCUCUCUAAAAGUUCAGAGUUCAAUUCAUCCUCUCCAUUGUAAAGCCAAGAAUCAUCAUCAGAAGGUGGCACAUCUACACACUUAAAGUCAUCCACUGAAUAAGGUAAAGCAAGAAUCUCAUCUAUGCGCCUCACUGGAGCACUCAUCAUCUCACUGCAACAAAGAAACACAAUAGUUUAACUUCCCGACACCAACAGAAAAAGAAAAGUUCAAUAAACUACAGUAUACACAUCACCUGACACCAAAAUAGAAUAGAUUCAAAUAACACAAAUCACAGGCAAUCCAAGUCAAAUUACUUCCUACAACUAUAUCAGAAAUAACCACCAUAGUGUCAACAGUUAAUUAAAAUUCAAUUACAUACUAAUGCAACAAAAAAGGUCAUUCCAGUAAAGUUGUUGAGUCCACAACCUAUUUAACAUGAAAAUGCAGAAUUGGUCAAUUAUACUGCUAAGAUAAGUAAACUAGAAACGGUUAUAAAACAGUACCUAGCCCUUGAAAAGGAAGCACUGCUCCGGUAAUACUCCUCCGCAUUCUGCAUCAACCUCUGGUACUCUUUUGAACCUGGAAGCAACCCUCCAAAAUAACCACUCCUCUCCAAACUUUCCCUAAACGCCUCCCAAGUACUCCCUUUCCCUUCUGACCCCUCCUUCCUCCUAUGCUGAUACAUCAUUUCCAACCCACACGCAAUCUUCAUCCCCAAUUCAGCCUCCACAUAUGCCGAAUCACUCCUAUUCGGCAUCGGAUAGCAUUUCGGCGCCUGAAAUGUCUGCUGCACCAGCUGUGCAUACAUUGCCCUCGACAUUUUCACCGAAAUGCACACCAACUCCUCCUCCUCUCUCCCUCUGCUCAAGAACCUCUCCAUCUUCGCCGCAUACUUCAUAGUGUCAAUGUCCCUGUCAUAGAACCCCUCAACCGCCAACGCAACCAGACACGGCUCCUGGCUCAACACCUGAGCCACCGCCGCCGGAACCCUAACCCUAACCCUAUGCAUAUUCCUCCUCGCCUUCUCCGGAUACUCCUCUAUCCUCUUCCUCACCGCAGCCUGCACCGCCUCCGCCGCAACCGACUCCUCGCCGAAACUCACAACGAAGCUCAACGCUUCGGCGAGGUUAGGGUUCCGGAGGCGGUGCCGGGGAACAAUAUGAACCUUCCCGCGGCGGAUGAAGACGCGGUUGGAGCUCGUCUGAGGGUUGAGCCACCGAGGGAGAUGAAAGGCGGCUUCGAUGAGUAGAAACUCGCCGUCGGAGUCCCAGACGCGGAUGGAGAGGUCGGGGAAGACAGUGGAGAUGUGGAAGAGGAGGAAGACGGUGAACCACUCGUCGUCGAGAUUGUCGCCGACGCGGAGGUGGCCGUGGAGGUGGGGGAGGUGGUUGGAGCAGAGGCAGGAGGGUUUGGGGGAGGGCGGAGGGGGAGGAGAGAGAAGGGCUGGUGCUGCCAGAUGUAGUCGGAGGUGAGGGGAGUUAGGGUUUGGAGGAUUUGGAGGUGGAGGGAGUGGAGGGAGGCGGCGGAGGUGGCGGUGGAGGUGAGGGAGAAGUCGGGGAAUAUGGCGUAGAAAACGGUGUCGUCUGGGAGGCGGGAGUGUUUUUCGGAGAAAAUUGAGGACGGGUCCAGGUCUGGUGGUGCCGCCAUGGUCUUGAGUUUUCAGUCGGUGGAAUUUCUCAGCGAGUGUUCUGGUGGUUUCUACUUCUUCAGCUCACUGAAGCGCGAUACUCUUUCUUUAAGCUUAUAUAGUUUUUUGUUUUCCCUCGUAGAAAAAGAGGAUAAAGAAACCUAAAUUCUUGGGGAAUUUACCAUUAUAUCGUCCUGAUAGCCCGAAUUUCUACUAUUUUUACGAUCAAUGGAAGAGUGUUCACAUGUUCAGCAAUUGAUCCGAUAAAUUAUGUUCAUUCACCUUUAAAUAUAAGAAUAAAGCAAUUGAACUUAACGAUCAUUUUCUCCACUCUCGUAUUUACAUUUAAGGUGGUUGAAAUCAUUGAUCUCUUAGCCAGUUGAUGAUUAGUCAACAUUUUUGAGCGGUGAAUUUUUUUAGCACCGAUAAUGAUCGAUAUUUCGGUUUAAAUUUGGAAUCUUGUUUCAAAUCAAAGUAGCUAAGGUUUUGAUUUUGACUGUGUUUGUUAGAGAUGAGAGAUCUCACAUUGGAAAAAUGACAAAGAAAAUAUAACUUAUAAAUGGGUAAUUAUAUCGAGUUCUUUUGUGAUUAAAAUCUAAUACCUUAAAUACCUUAAAGGUGGUUAAGUUGAGACAGUAUUGAUACAUGGAUGAUCCACGGACCACGUUUGUCGUUAUUUGACACGUGAUACAUUUGUUCCUAAAUAUGUUAAAUCUAACACUUCAAUCUCGUCAAAACAAAUGCAACCAUGUUCAGUACUUUAUGAUUGAAAAUCGUGUUUUGCACGAAAAACGUCUUCCGGCCAACAACGAUCAACGAGAAUCGGUGGUUGCCGCCACCACGAGACGAUGCAAGGACAAAAAAGUAAAUUUGAGAAGAAAAAGGGAAAGAAGAAAUGAAGAUUUUCAACAAAAAAUUGCAAAUAGGGGUGGAGCGUGCAAACCAUUUUACGAAAAAAAUAACAAUAAAACCUCUCUUCGAACGGUCCCGUCUUUACAGACAAAACCCUCCUCCUCCUCCUCCUCCUCCGCCACAUCACACACCUCUUUCUCUCUUCCGAUCGCCACCACCGCCAUGUGCUAUGGUCAGCAACGACCCUUCUCCCGAGACACCCCGACCCCGGCACGAUCCCCCAACGACCACAACGCCGUCGCCGUCGAAGAUCUCCGCGGCCGACUCGCCGAUACCGAGGCGCGUCUCAUACGCGCUAGGGCUCGCGAGGCCGAGCUCAACCGCCGCCUCGACGAGAUGAAACGCUUCGUUUCCGUCAUGGAGAUCCUCGAAACCUAUCUCCGGCGACGAUUCCGGGAGCAGCAGGAUUACGUCUCCCGCCUCUUCUCUACCUCACGUAAAUAGCAACACCUUCCACUAGUCUCUUUCUCCUUCAAAUUUCAUCACACACUUUGUGUUCAUAGUUUUUAUUUUUAAUUUUUUUUUCAUGUUUGUGUUUGUAUUACUAUUUUGAUGAAAUUUUUACUGUGGAAGAUUAUUGAUAUAGAGAUUUACUGAUUUUACUGAGACAGUUAGUUACUCUCAAUGUUAUGAUUCAUAGCGGUGUCGAUAUGAAUGUGAAUGUUGUUGUUUAGGUUACUCUCUGUGCGUAGUGUGAAAUAUUUUGGAGCAGCUUCAUUUGGUUUUAUGAUCAUUUGCUGAUGAUUCUUUGUUGUUGUUAUGCGCUCUGAUAGUAGUAUUGUGGCUAAACUGUGGGUAAUUGUGCGUAUUUAGCUAGACUUAUAAGCACAUUAGGAACUUGUGUUGCAAUUGGGGUUAUGCUGCUUCAGUAGAAUAGAGUAGUCUUUUGUUAAGCUUGAGUCAGUCAUUAUCAAACAUUAUGGGUACAUUCUCUAACCUGAGUAUAUUUAUGGAAAGAUGGUAUCAUUGGGUAUAUGUUGUUUUCUUAGAAGGCAAGAUGGUUGGUUGCAGUCUCCACAAGCAGUGAGAGGUGUAGCCUUCGCCUUACUUAUCAACAACCAAUCCGCUUAUGGCUACUCACCAGCCUUUGUGCUGGAUUGGAGUUGGUCUGAUUGAGCAUAAAGAUCAGAUGUAUCUUUUGUAAAUAAUCUGGUUGAAUUGAAUGCAUUGUUAAGAUAAAAUGAUAUUGGUUUUUGGAAAGCUCAAAUUAUACAAAGGAUGUCAGUGAUGCAUGAUUUUGUUGGCAAGUGACUUGAGCAUUUAACAUACCUCUCAUUAGAAGCAGUGGUAUCAGAAAUAGGUUUGGUCUUCAGGUAUUAGGCAUAACAGUGAUUGCAUAUUUGUUAAUAUUGAGCAAAAUGCAUCUAGUAGGUCUCAGUUAACUACAUCAUGGGUUCAACUUUGAGAUAUGAUAUACGACUAAGCUCCAGAAGCUGAACAGAGUUUCAAAUAGUUAGUUAUGAACUUAUGCUUGUUGAGUAUGCAGUUGUGUGAGUGGAGAUGAGCAAUUAUGUUACCAUAGGCUCACAGUCACACCAGUGGUUGCCUUUUUGGCAUCUUUUGUUUUGUCAGUCUAAGUUGGAUAAUUUGGCUUGGCAAUUGCACAAGUUCACCUUAAGUUUUCUUAUGAUAUAUAUCAUUCUGGUAUGUAUAUGAGGAGCAUUGAGAUUUAAUAUUGACCCUGGAUGUUACCCUUGUGAAAGUGCUGGAGUUCAACCUUGGAUAGAUCUGUACAACUUCUGUAUGUGUUGGGAAACAUUCUUUAUCUUUUAGUUAGGUAUUGAUAAGGUUGACAUGAGGAGCUUGCCUAGCUCCUCACGUAAAUAUAGAAGUUACUGUAAGAUUUCAUAAAUCUCUACAUAGUAAGAUUUUUCUACAUCUAUUACCUGAACGCAAUAUAUAACAAGGACUUCUCUUCUGUCUGUUAUGAUUUCUGACAUAAUGCAUAGUACUUGAUUCUUCCAAUUCAUUGCUAGUUAGUUUUUUUAGCGAAAACCAAUCAUGAGAGUUGUUUGUGCAAGUAGCCAAAUAAUGUUGUUAUGAUUCAGUGGAAUAGAUAGCUGGGCAAAAACAAAUGUUCAGUACAAUGGGAAUUGGUUUCGGCUUAGCCGGUUUUAUGCUUAGGAGUUGCUACUUCAGCUGGAUGAACACAAGUUGCUUUACUUCUAGUGGAAAUAUGACUUGAAAAGACUCAACUUUUCGUUGGCCGCCUAGUGAAAUGUAGUUUAAGCUGAAUGUAAUUCUGUUCUUUUCCAGGAUCAGGAAACAAGGUUUAUAACAUCAAUCCUAAUUGGAUUUGGAAUCACAUUCCCUUUUCCUCUUUUCAUUUGUAGUCCACUGAAAUCAAAGAACCAAAAGGUUUAACUUUCUCAUCUCUAAUCUUUGGUGGGGCUUAUCAUCAAGUAUAUGCUCUUGUUGGCCAAAAUGGCUUUUUGUUUGGCCUUUUGAGUAGAAAAGAAGCUUGAUACAAAUCUUGUAAAACGAUUUGCAGUUAUAAUUACUUGUAAAACGCUUUUUAUGAACCUUGUAUUUCACGAUAACUUUCAUGAGUAUGAACGACAAUCCUUCUGGAGCCUGGCAUUUGGAAAGCUAUAUAGUAAAUCUUAGAUACUAUAAUGAGUUUUUGUUAGCGAGACUAAUUAUAGAAAUAGAUGGUGACUAUUAUCUAUUGUGUGACAAGUCGCAGUCAUAGAGUCAGUUAUUGCAUCAAGCCUCAUCUCAAAAAGCCAAGUCACUGAUAACAUCUUAAUGCUUAAGCAACAAGGUUCUCAAACACUUAACCAUCAUCGAGGACCCAUUAGUAUCAUUUCUCCACAGCACUUGGAUUUUGAUGACAUGUGAAAUAUACAUGCGUACUCUUUUAUAUAAACCAUUUUGGUUCAUCAAACAAAAAUGCUGAUUCAGAUAAUCAAGUGAACACUGUUGUAGUGAACAGUAUUAUUGUUUGAAAAAUUAUGUGUAUCGAUAAAAACCUAAUUCGCACGCAACUUAAAUGAAAAUAGAAAUGCAAUUGUAAUUGUAAUUCAUCUUUACAUAUAAUCAUGCAUAUAAUGCAUAAUCCUCAAAUCUUCCUUCAGCUAUUUCAAUUUUCCUUCCGGACAACACAGACCAUAUUUGAAAACGACAUCAUGAUGGAGCCCUGGCAGAAAAUAAUGCAUGGUUUGAUGUUUUCAAUGUUUCUUCAACGGCCAAGAAAACAGGGCGAUUUCCGUAAUUUCGCUUCUGAAAGCAACCAGCGAGCGGCAACUAGAUCAAAAUCAACUACAAGAUGAAGAUGCCUCUGAAAGUCUCACUCACUCACUCACUCACUCACUCACACUAAGUCACCAUUACUAACAUCAUCAGCACCAAACCCAUCUUUUCACACCUUCCCUAAUACCAACAAAACCAACUCACUCUUUCUUGCUUUCCUUUCACUCUUUCAAACCCCUUUUGGGACUAUUCUCAGCUCAGCAUUUUAGCAAUUACAGUUCUUCAACUUCAAAAUUCGAGCCAUACCCAGUUGAGAACACACUCCAAUGGCAACUGGGUCGAGCUCAGAUUCCAUUAACAAGGCUCAGAGCGUGAGGGGUCGACCUGAAGUGGGCACUGUGGAGCCAAAGGUGGGAGCUUUUGUGCCGAGGAGGGAUCAUAACCCGAGAGAGCUCAAGUCAUGGGCAAAGAGGACUGGGUUUGUGUCCAAUUUCUCAGGGGAGACUGUGGGGAGCAGCAGUGGGAGGAAUGAGAGUGGUGGUGGGUUUGAUUUGGAGAGGGGUGGUAGAGGUGGAAGUGGGUCGUCACCGAAGAUUGAGAUAGAUCCGGUGUUGGGCCGGACCAAGCCCACUAGAGGGGUUGAGAUUGAGGCAGUUGGGGUGAGGAGUGAGAGUGAGGAGGCAAUGAGGGUGGAGAGAAGGGGGAGGAGGAGUGAGGAUGAGCCUGUUUUGGGUAGAGAUGAGGAGAGGAGUGUUGGGAGUAAUGGUAAUGGAGUUGUUGGAGGUGGUGUGGCGGGCGAGGCCAAGAAGUUGGAUGAGGGAAAUGGGAGGGAGGGAAUGCAGCUGUAUGAGGGAGAUGGGAGAGAGGGAAUGCAGCUGUAUGAGGAAGGUGAGGAAGGUGUUCAUGGAGGGUGGGGUAGGCCGUCGGCCAUGAGGAUUGGAUUGAGAGAGAAUCCGGGCUUCGGUUAGUGUAUACUUGCAUUGUUUUCAGUUUUCGAUUGUUGAAAUUGCGAAUGUAGUUAUAAUUGCUAAUUUGUUUGUGUUUGUUGUGUGAUUAUGUUGUAGUGGAUUGGAAUAGAUGGAAAAUUUAAGAUAGUAAUGCUUAAGAUAUGAAAUUAGUUGACAUUAAGUUUAUGCCCCUUUUGAGUAAAGACAAAUAGACAAUAUUUGUGUGUGGUGGGAGGAACACUACCACCACUUUUCUCAUACAGUGCAAUAGAUAUAGGAUAGAACGCAGGAAAGAUAUGAACAUCAUCAGUGGGCAAGUCAUGCUGACAGAAAACAAGCUUAUAAUGCACCCUAGCAUUCACUUUCUUGAAGGAAUCAACAUAUGAUUUAAACCCUGAACUUCUAGAGCAGGAGAUUAAAGCCUUAUUUGCUUCAUAUUAUUAAAGAAUUUGGACUCGAGAUUUCAAAGCUAAAAAGGAUGUUGUGGUCUAUUCUCUUUAUUCAAAGUGAUGGUCUGUACUGUACUUUGAUAAAAUUGUUGAUUGGUUCUCUCUUGGUUCAGUCGGUGGCCAAGGAGCAUUCCCUUCCUAUUACUGAUUUCAUAUUUUUAGAACGAACGACCUGGUACUCUUGAAUCUUGUUGCAAGUCACAAGAGCUUAGCUCUUUUCCCUACACUCAUCUGGUUAAUUUUCAAUGGCAGUCCCACUAAUAUAUUACGGUCUGCAGCACUACUUAUCAUUGGCCGGCUCACUGAUAUUCAUCCCUCUAAUUAUUGUACCAGCCAUGGGUGGAACAGAUGUAAGCAUGUGUUUUCCUGCAUUUAUUUCUGUCUUGCAAAUUGAACUGGAAACUCACUAUAUACAUUAAAUACAUGAUCACAGAAGGAUACUGCCACAGUGAUCUCGACAAUGCUGCUUGUUUCUGGAAUCACAACCAUAUUGCACUCUUACUUUGGAACCCGGCUUCCAUUAGUUCAAGGAAGUUCGUUUGUAUAUUUGGCACCAGCAUUAGUUAUCAUAAAUGCUCAAGAAUAUCGGAAUCUCACAGAACAUGUAAGUGUUCUGUAAAAAGAGUAGUAGUUAGAUACAAUCAAAUGCAAUGUUUUAACAUCCAGAGAAUUCCCUGCAUCAUUAAUCUAUUUGCCACACAUUUCAACGAUGGAAGACUUUAUACCUUUUAUGUAAAUGGAGUAAUCUUUCUUGCAUCUGAGAAGUGUCAAGACUCUCAUGGUUUCAAUGUUUAUUGAUUCCAUUGAACUGCAGAAGUUUAGGCAUAUAAUGAGAGAACUGCAAGGAGCUAUAAUUGUUGGUUCGAUAUUUCAAAGCAUCCUGGGAUUUAGUGGGUUAAUGUCUUUAUUGCUGAGGUAAUACAUAUAACUUUUUGUGAAAUUUUGAUAUUGCCUAUAUUGCAGUGCUUAUUACAAAGGAAUAAUAGCAUAUACAUAUUUCCAAACUCGGCUUAGUGCUAUUUUCAUUUUCUUUAAUUAUGACAAUGUAGUACCAAUGUUGGAGAACUCAUUUCCAUUUGUGGCUUGUUUUACUCAUGUGAUGGCUCUGUAGCAUAGAUAAGUUUGAUGUGAAUACUGGAAAGACAAUUUUGCUUUUUCCAUUGGCAUAUAACAGGGAACCUAACAUAUUAAUACUGUCAGUUUCAAAAUGAUUUAAUAUCUUAUAGUGAUAUGUCAAAUUCUGGUUGCACUUAUAGUUGCAUCAGCAGGACUUGGUGCAUAUGUAGCUUAAUUAUGUUUCUGACAUAAAUAUUUUCUCUUAUGAUUCACUCAUGUUUGCUACAGUGGUUUCUACUGUGUUCUUAUUUUUUGUGCCUUCACUGUGUACAUCAUUUUUUCCCUAAUCUUGAUGAUUAUUCGUUGCAGGUUGAUAAACCCUAUCGUCGUUGCACCAACUGUUGCUGCUGUAGGUUUGGCAUUUUUGAGUUAUGGCUUUCCUCAAGCUGGUAGUUGUGUGGAAAUCAGCAUUCCACAGAUACUUUUGGUUCUUAUAUUCACCUUGGUAAGUGAUUAUCUGGUACUGCAUUUGCAUGUGCAGCCUGUGCUAUACCUCAGUCACUGUCUUAACGAGUCUUUCACAUUUUAGCUUCUUAAUUCAGCUUAUGCUUUUGUGAAGUGUUAAAAAAUAACUGAUAAUUCGUUACUUUUGUUGCUUUGUUUUUAGUACCUUCGAGGGGUAUCCAUCUUUGGGCAUCGUCUUUUCCGGAUUUAUGCGGUACAUAUCUUACCUUUCUACACUAACUUUUAUUAUUUAUAAAGUUAGAUACUCAUCUUGUUCGAAAAUGAAGAUUUCAACUUUGCACAUUGGCAAAACUAUACUAUUCAAUUGUUCAUGUGGACUAAAGAAGCACCACUGUGCACAUAUAUUGUGCCCUCAUGGGAAGUUGAACUCCCAACCUAGUUCAAGAGAAGGCCCCAGCUACUAUCUAACUUUUGGCAGUGCAGGGAACAAUUAGUGAUCUGAAUUCGUACUGAAGGUCCAAACAUUGACUUUAAGCAAUGUUAGUAGCAUAUAGAAAUAUACCAAUACCUGUUUUCAAUUCCUUGUGGACCUUGUGGGAUAUGUAAUUGUAGCUCAUCAUCAUGGUAUUUAUUAUCUGAGUUGGACAUCUUUGUCUUUCUAAUGACUGCCAGAUGUAAUUAUCAGUGAGAGAUUUGUUAAACUAAUUAGAGACUGAAACCUUAACCAACCAAAAUUUCAAUGAGAGAGCUCCUCUUCAACCCACAAUGAAAUCUAAGGGAAAAAUAUUCGUUUAUAUGUGAAAGUUUAAAUAACUAAAAAGAAAUAGGAAAAGAAACAUUAUCAUCUCAUUUGUUUCUACUGGUUGACAGCCUGUGGAUAUUAUGACUUGAUAAAUUUUGUUGAUGUCAUUUCAGGUUCCCUUGAGCAUAGUGAUCAUAUGGACUUAUGCAUUCUUUUUGACAGCCGGUGGAGCAUAUGAUUACAAAGGCUGCACCUCUGAUAUACCUAGUUCAAAUAUCUUAAUAGAUGCUUGUAGAAGACAUGCAUAUACUAUGAAACAUUGUAGGACCGAUGUUUCAAAUGCAUGGAGAACUGCUGCAUGGGUCAGGAUUCCCUACCCUCUGCAAUGGGGUAUCCCUAUCUUCCAUUUCAGGACUUCCAUUAUCAUGAUCUUUGUGUCUCUUGUUGCAUCAGUUGAUUCGGUGGGUAGCUAUAAAUCAAAUGCAGUUGAAAAUAGUUAUAAAUAUAAAUUCACAUCCUGUGUCAUUUAAUUGGUAAGGCAAACAUAUAGAUUGCUGAUUGGCUUUGUUUCUCAAUAAAGAAUUAGUUUGACAUCCUUUAGUAAUGAUUUUCUGAUGUAGUGAAGGCUCUGUGAUUCACAUCUUAAUAUUGCUGAAGUAAAUCUCUAUGUGCACUUUAAGCUACAGAAUGAAGAUAAAGAUGAAAUUACCAGCAUGACUCUGAUGCAUACAAUGAAAAUACUUGUCCAGGUUGGAACAUAUCACUCUGCAUCUAUGCAAAUUAAUCUGAAGGCUCCAACCCGAGGAAUUGUCAGCAGAGGAAUUGCAUUGGAGGGAUUCUGCAGUAUAUUGGCAGGACUUUGGGGUUCAGGUACUGGGUCAACAACCUUGACAGAAAAUAUUCAUACAAUCAACAUAACAAAAGUGGCAAGCCGAAGAGUUGUGGAGCUUGGAGCAGUUUUCUUAAUCUUCUUCUCAUUCGUAGGUAAAGUACUACGAAACAUCACAAUUUAGUGUAUGUAAUAAUGUUAUCAGGUCCUAGUUAUUCUAUACAGAGCUCGUAAAUGGAUAAAAGUUCAUUUAAUAAUGUCAUUUGGUACACUGGUGUCAUUUGCUGCACUGGUGUUAUUCUGAAUAAGCUGCAUUGGUGUCAUUUGUUGUGUUUGACAGGAAAAGUGGGUGCCAUUCUUGCCUCUAUACCACUGGCCUUGGCUGCUUCCGUACUCUGCUUCACAUGGGCCCUUGUUGUGGCAUUGGGUCUCUCAACAUUGCAGUAUAGUCGAGCAGCAAGUUUUAGAAACAUGAUGAUAGUUGGCGUUUCAUUGUUUCUUGGUUUAUCUAUUCCUGCAUAUUUUCAACAGUAUCAACCAGAAUCCAGCUUCAUACUCCCUAGCUACUUCAUUCCUUAUGCAGCAGCAUCUAAUGGACCAGCCCGCACCGGUAGUAAACAGGUAAGAAAUUUAUUCCAUCAUCCUUUUUUCUUUUUUGCGCAAAUACAUGAGAAUCCGAUUCUCCACCCCCAAAAUAAUUGAAAGUUGAAAGGCAAAGUUUCUUUCAAAAUAGUGAUGACUGAUUAAUCAAACAAAGCAUGCUAUUCUUGAAAAACUGUGACAUAGAAACUGUAUUCGGAAUCUAAUUUUUGUUGCAUUUGAGGCGUAAAUGCUAAAGUAAACAUAAAUAGUAGCUAGCCGAGAUGUUUUAAGGUCACAUAAGUCAUCAUAGAGCAAUACGACAGAAUCUGGCAGUUUUUGAAAAUCUCCUUGGGCCAAAAGUGGGUAAGACCAUCUGCAGAUAGUACAUUCUCUGGAUCAGAAAAAACAGCUAUGCAGAGAAUGCGUACCUCCCGUGCACCAUGUUCACAAUUAGGGAAAGUAACUCAACUAUUGCUUUAGGAUAAUUCACCUCCCUGCUAUUAGAAUAUUUAGAGCAACUGGCCAAGGUUUUGAACGAAGGAGGAACUCUUACUGAAUUGUUUGGGGAGGAUUUUGAUAAAGAUGCAUAUAAUAUAAGACAUACUGUUAGUUUGUCCAAGCAUAUUAAACUGUAACUUUGAGAUUUAUUUGUUCCUAGAUUUGAGCUCAUUUUUGGUUUAAAUGUUUGUCAGCUUGACUUUGCUAUAAAUGCACUUAUGUCUUUGAACAUGGUGGUGACACUCAUGGUGGCAUUGGUACUGGAAAACACUGUCCCAGGCAGCCGGCAGGAGCGAGGGGUGUAUAUAUGGUCAAAACCAGAAGACAUCAACACCGAUCCAUCUUCCCUUGAAGAUUAUUCCCUGCCAAGGAAAGUUUCGAGAUGUCUUUGCCGCUCUAGUUGUCUGGGCGUGUAAUUUCAAGCAGACUACAGUAUGAGCCAUAGAAAUGUGAAAAGGUGACUUGGUAGACUUUGAGAGUACUGGAGAUUGGAUUUAGUGAAGCCCCGAGUGACGACACAAAAUAUAUACAUUAGCAAUAGCUUUAUCAUACCAAAUUGGAGAUGUUGUACAACUACAAGGUUAGAGAGUAGGUUGCAAUAUUGGGAUUCAAAUUUGUACAAUAACUUAAGCAAGGGCUACCAUUUAGCCCCUUCUAAUCUAUAAAUUUCCUCCCAAAUGUUUUUUAAACUCCUUCAUUAACACUAGUUGCAAUUGAGUGUUCUAUUUCUAGUGUAGGUUCCACUACCCUAACAAUAAAAGCACAUAAGAACUAAAAUCACAAGAGGUAAAGGAAAGAGAACAAUAAAUAAAGGCUAAGAACUAGAAACACACAAGUAUACCCUUAAAGUACUUGCAUUCAGCCAUAAAUCUAACUAUCUAACUACCAAAAUAGACAUUAUAAGCUUCAGAUUAUCUACCAACUUCAAAAACAGUAACAAUCAGUAAUAGCUUUAGCUCAAUCUUUUGAUUUCAUUGUUGGGAGUUCUCUCUUGCACGACUUGCAAUUUGGUCAGCCUUCUCUUUAGUUUGGUUAAGCUCUUUCUUUACCGUCUCCAUGAACAAUUCCCCACUCCAUCCUUGAAAGGAAGUACACCUUUCAGACAGCUUCAUAAGUUCCUCAACCAAUUCCAUCGGCCACACACCAGCUGUCUCGUCUAGAAAUAUAAGCUGGACAUAGGGUUCAGUCAUAUACCAAGUAACACUAGUCCCCUUGUAUCCACCUAAUAGAUGCAGAAUUAAGUUCCCAAAAGCCUUCACAUCCUUUACCAAUUCACUUGUCUGGUACACUUGAGGCUGCUCAAGAUCAACCUUGGCAAAACUUCACUAUCGAUGAAAACGUUGGAUGCACUAAGAUGACCCUGAACUAUAAGUCCAGGCUGAAGCUGGUAAAGGUAACACAAAACCUUCAUAUAUAAUGUGAUUUUGAGUUUAAGACAUGUGUAAUAGCCUUAAGAUAAAUAUGUAGAUAAGUUUUACAUUUGAAUUUGAAAUCUAAAUUGCAAUUGAGAGUAGUUUUAUAACAAAGCAAUUAAGUUUGAGGACUUCGAUUCGCUCCUUUUUUCAAUCGCAUAUUCACAUCUGAACCAUCUACCUGGUAGAUAUAUAUGAGUAGAUCAUCUCUAUAAAUUUUCAUCCAAAUUGACAAUCAUUAAGGCAUUCAUUAUUAACGCAAUUUACCGAUUAUAAACUUGAACAGUUCAUGUUUAACAAAUUUGGAUCGUCAAUUGAUUUGAUUUAGUUCGAGUCUUUAAUGAUCACCAAUUUGACUGAAAACUUGUAUAAUUAAUCUACUUAUAUAGACCUAAAAACUACACGGUUGACAUAAACCAUUAAAUGAAAAGGUCCUCAACUAGUACUCAACAAGAUGAUCCUCAGUUUCUCUAGAAGAAGGGUUUGGAAUCCUAAUUUGACUAGGUUUUAUUGAAAAGGUGAUAUGCAGAUUAAUGAACUCUAAUAUAUAACUUCAAAUAUUUGAUGAUUAUAGAGGUAUCAGUAAUUCACUACUCUUCGUCCUCAUCAGUCCAUAUUUGUGAGUUUCACCGGCUAAAACACAGGCACAAUCGCAAUGUCAGACUACCUCCCGGAAGAUCUUAUUUACAAAAUCCUCACAGGAUUGCCGGCGAAAUCGUUGAUGCGAUUCAAGUGCGUCUCAAAACGGUGGCGUUCCCUCAUCUCCGACUCACAAUUCGCCAAGACCCAUCUCCAGUUAGCUUCCACCCACCAAACCCUAAUCCACGGCUUCCUCGUAUGCAGCUCCCCUCAUAUCCCCCAGCUCGAAUCUUCCGUCUUGGAAUCUCCCUCCUUCGGCGACAGCUCUUCCCCCCGAAAGCUGGCCCACCCAACGGAGGAGGAGGGCUUACCUGUCCUGCUACUCGGUUCAUGCAAUGGUUUUGUUUUUACUUGCCUCGGGCGGGCUGGGCAUCCAUCUCGGAAUUACUCCAUCUGGAACCCUACAACCGGGUUCUUCCUGGAUCUACCCGACCCGGAAUUUCCCUACUACGACGAUCAUUACUUUCGCCGCUUUAUUCACCAUGGCAUUGGUUAUGUGCAUGAAACCGACGAGUAUAAAGUUGUGGUAUCAUCUUAUGAUGUCUCAACCCUGAAGGUGUUGUCGUUGAGGGAUCAGUAUUGGAGAGAGAAAACAUGUCCGCAUCAGUUUGUAGAUCAUGAGACUGAAGGGGUUGGACUACAAGAGACGCUGCACUGGGUUGUUUUCGACUAUGAACAUGAACCCCCACUGGACCCUGAACCGUACAUGGUUGCUUUCGAGCUGAGAAAUGAGGAUUUUCGAAUAAUGCAGCUUCCUUUGGCUGCUACUGGAGAAGAUCUGAGUCUGGCGCUGUUUUCAUGGAGAGGAUGCAUGUAUUUAUGAGUGUACCCGAUUUCGUAUGCGAAGACAGUGCAGUGUUAGGUGAUGGAAAAGUAUGGGGAUGCUGAGUCUUGGACUAGGGGUUAUAGCUUUAGUGUUCCCAAUCCACCAGUAUGGACCAGGUAUCUGAGACCGUUGUUUAUCACUGAAAAUAGUAGAAUUCUCCUAAGGUAUUCAGAUGAGAACUCGUUAGUAAAAUUGGAGUUGGUCAAAGUUGUUGAUGAAGAAGAGAAUCAAGAAGAGGAGGUGGUUACUUAUAGGCAUGGGUGGCACGAGAGAGUUGUGGGUGGGGGUCCUGGGGGAGUCUUAUGAUUGUAUAUGCUGAGACUGUAUUUUCUAGUGUUAUGGUGGAACCAAAGCAGCCGGAGACAGAUCGAGAGGGCAAGAAACUGAAAACGCAGCACCAAGGCCUCACAAAGCUCGAAUGAACUUAAUGAUUGCUGGUUUGUUACUCCUCGCUUUUAUGCGUUAGAACAUAAUUUGUUUGUUUUUUCUUCUAUGGUACAGAGUCUGUUUUGAUUGUUUGAAUGAAUUUCUUCCAAAUGCUUUCCUUGGAUUUGUAUUUUGGGGAAUUUUCAUAUACACCCAAUUUUAAAAAAUGGUUUUAAAUAAAACCCACAUAAUAUUCAUAUUUGAUAGACAUCUAAAAUGUAUAAAUUAUGAUAAAUAUUAUGUCCUAUUUUUCCUAAAUUUUACACAAUUGCCACCAUUCAACUAUAACAUAUUAAUAUAAUAAAUAAGCUUAAUUGAUGUUGUCUUCAAUACCUUGAUUAUGAGUCUAACACUAACAUUUUUCAAUCAACUUGCAAGAAUCAUGUAGUUUUCUUUAUUUUUAUGAAAAAAUCUAGCUUAAAGGAACUCAUUCUCUAAUCUAUACAUAAAGUAAAAUAUAAUAUGAAUAAGAUAUCUCAUCUAAACCUUAAACCCUAAACCCUAUACCCUGUACCCUAUACCCUAAACCCUAAACUCUAAACCCUAUACCCUAUACCUUAUACCCUAUACCCUAAACCCUGAACCCUAUACCCUGAACCUAUACCCUAACUCUAUGACCUAAACCAUAUACCUUAACCCUAUACCCUAAACCCAAUUUUGGGUUUAUUCUUUUUAGGUAUAUUAUCAUAUCAUGCCCUACUUAAUAGGUACAUUAGAAACAUAAGUAGUAGAUGGAGUGUAAAGUAUUCUCUCGAUUAGGAUGAGAAAUGAUAUAAUAAUGUACCUAAAAAGAA